rnacentral:lncRNA from 1 species
GGGGCACGUCCUUGGCGCACUUGGCCCGCAGCCUCCUGGCGAAUAGCGGGUCGAUGAGCGGGUUGAGGUCGAUGUUGGGAGCGAAGCGGUCGGAGAAGACGGGGCAGUGGGCGACGCCGAAGGUGUGCGCGCCGGAGAGCGAGACGAGGUCGGCCACGUCGAGGCUCCGGUUGCCGAAGGAGGAGAUGAGAGUCGGCACGUCGAAGGAGGGCGCCGGCAGGGUGUCCACGAGGUCCUGGGACGCCGGGGCGAGCCCGUCGCGGCGGCCGAGGGCGACGUCGAAGUGUGGCCCGCCAGCCUGCAUCCACCACGUACGUACUCGUUGAUUAAUCGGUUCUGCUCAGGUUGAAAAUAUCGUCUGACAUAUGUACGCUUGUGUGGAGCAUAUGGCCGGCAGGCAUGAAGUGGAGUGUACCUGUACGAGGGCGUCACGGGUGGCGAGGACGGUGAUGUCGGCGCAGGAGACGGUCGGGCCGCAGGCGGCAUGGACGGCGGCGCGGAUGCGCUCGAUGAGGUCGAGAGCAACGGGGCGGAGCGUCUGGUUGGGCACCGCAUUCAGCUCGCUGUUGUUCCCGGUGAGGAGCACCGACGCGUCGCAGCCCUGCGGGAAGCAGUCGUGGAAGAGGAUGCGGAUGAGGGCGGGGGCGACGCCGACGUCGCGCCGGAAGGUCUCCGCCACGAGGUCCCCCACGAUCUUCUCCAGGCCCGGGCACGACGCGGCGUGGAAGCCCCGGGACAGCCCGCCGGCGUCCGCGGCCGAGAUGGUCGACUGGGCGGCGCAGAUCAAGGCUGCCAGGACGAGGACGGUCGCUGUUGCUCUGGACGCCAUUGCUGUCGCCCUACAGAGAUGUAGCUGAGCUUUUUUGCACGAUGAUGGUCGUGUGGCUUGCUCAAGCUAUGGACACUAAACCCUUGUUAUUUAUACACGGCCAAGUGGCUAACCACCCCACAGCUGGGUAGGUACGUACGUGGCUUAACUCGAUAUUAAUUAUCUACAAGGUGGAAAACAUGUGCAAGUCGGUGCCUGAAAUUUCCCAGAACUUUCCGUAUGCCUUGCGCCCAACAACCCCUUCACUGCGUAUGUGAGUAAUUUACGAUUAGGAUGUGUGACAUCGAUCCAAGUGGGACAUAUACAUAAGGGGUCUGGAAUCAUUUUGAAUGACGCCGAGCUGGCUACGUACGACCUACAGGGAUAGGAUCAGCCUGAGCUUCUUAACCCUCAAAAGAGUUAAGUCAUCAAAAUAUUCUCUUGAUCGAUGCGUGCGUUCCCACACAACCAUCUCAAAGCAUCUCCUGGUCCAAAUUUAACGAUCCAGCCCGUGGGGGGGGGGGGGGGGGCGGCCCGGCCCGUGAAAGUCCUCGGCCCCCCUCCCAGGUCGCACGUAGCCUAUGGGGAUAGCUCUGCAAGGCAGAAGCGCACGUAGAAGUAGACUAAUGUAGAUGCGCAGCCAACGUAGGACGUGACCGAUGGACAAGAUCGUGCACAUCACUACCACGCGAAGAUAAUGGGCCCGACCCAGCGCCAUGGGCAUCAUUACCGUGGUUCAGGAAGACCCAAGGUAAAAAACUAAAUUAACGCACAAUGCUCAGUCUUGUUUUUUAGGUCGUCACGCCCAAACUCCCAUCCCAAUCACGGCAAGGCCAUUGCGUGUUUGCCGCAUGUGUUUGCCUCCGAUGCGGGGGCGACACUACGACAGAUGAGCAUCCAAAUAGGGUAGUCAUCUAGAUCUGGUAGGUCAAUUUGCUCCUUUUGAUUCAAUCUUGUGGGUUUUAUGAAUUUUGGGGUUUCUUGAUUUCGGGGAAAAAAUUAUAGUUACAAUGAGAGGAUUUUUGUUUGGCAUUUCAAAAUUAGUAGCCAUGCUGCUAUUGUUCGGUUAUGAAAAUUGGGAAUAUGGGACGAUGUCUACUGCAACAGGAUUAUGAUUAAUCAUUGAAUCGUGUCAAGUUAUUUAUUAACUCGAUAAUCAAUGUUAUGGUUUUGUAGUGCAGCUGCAAAAGCAUUAUGUCCAAGGCAUGUUGAUAGUUCCUUCCGUAUUGAAGAUUCCAACUUAGAUCUCCGGUAUCAAAGUUUUGAUAGAAAAUGAUGUUUUUGGAUUUGGAGAUGAUAUCAAAUAAUAUUGGAUUUUCUGUCGGUACAAUGGGUUUCUCAUAUACCGUAGCUAAAGUUUGACUGUUUGACUCACUAUACAUGUGUUUUAUCUCCAGGGCUUAGAAGAUGUUUCUAAUGCUUCAUAAAAAACAAAGAUUCUUAUCAAGAAGCACAUGAACACGGAGGCACUACAUGAGUUGAUGAUGAUCAAGGUAUGAUUGUUUUUGUUCUACUAUAAGAAGCACAUGCAUCUUUCAAAUAGCUACAUAUUGAUAACAAAUAAUGGAGAAUAAUGUGAGAUACGUAAAUGUCCCAGAGAGGUUAAAAGUUUUGCAACUUAGUAUAUCAAGAAUAAAUUGUUGAAUAAGAUUGAUAUCAAUACCAUCAUCCCUGAGAUUGCAUCUCGGAAUGUUAGACCCAAAUUUUGAGAUACAUAUAUAAAAAUUAUGUGAUUUUAAAUGCAUUUUAAGCGUUACACGACAACAUUUUUUACGUUUAUGAAUUUAUGUUAAAGGGUCCCGGGUUCUAGUUUCGCCCCGGAUCCCCGAAAUCUCAGGACCGGCCCUGGGUCCAAAUUCAAAUCACUAAAAGGUGCUUUUUAUAAAAAGGCUCAACUUCAACAGAUGAUCUAAAACGAAGAUGUAAAAAAAGAGCAUCUCCAAUAGAUGGUCCAAAACAAAGAUGCAAAACCGACCGACGGCCGCACGACUGCUAUUCAGCCACUUUACAGCCGCGGUUUUGCGUUCAAAUAUCACUUCAAAUUCGAAAUAAAGUGCAUCAUCAUCAUAGUUCAAAUCAUAACAAAAGUGCAUCACCAUCAUUAUAGUUUACAAUCCCUCUACCAAAAGUGCAACGUCCCAAUCAAAGUUUUUUGGCGUACAAAUUAAAAUACACAUGAAUAUCAUUCAUGCGGAACAUCAACACCAUCGACGUUGUGAACUGUGGUACGAUCGUCAUCAUACACAUUUCAUCGAACAUGUUGGAGGCGGUGGCCGUCGGCGUGGCCAAAUCUUCCUCCACGUCCGGCGGUGGCAGCGGUGGAGGUGGGGGAUGUUGGGGAACGUUGCAUGGGAAACAAAAAAAUUCUACGCACACGCAAUACCUGUCCAUGGUGAUGAUCAUCUACUAGAAGGGAGAGUGAAUCUACAUACCCUUAUAGAUCGCUAAGCGGAAGCGUAUAUAUUGCGGUUGAUGUAGUGGAACAUCUUCGCAAUCCAAAUCACAGCCCGUCCCACGAUCUCAUCACGAUUCGUCCCGCGAUCCCAUCACGAUCCUUCCCGAUCUAGUGUCGAACGGACGACACCUCCGCGUUCAGCACACGUACAGCUAGAUGAGGAUGUCCACCUUCUUGAUCGAGCAAGAGGGGACGGAGAGGUAGAUGAGUUCUCCAGCACGACGGCGUGGUGGUGGUGGUGGUACUAUUCCAGCACGGAUUCGCCUAAGCACCAUUGAAACUAGAGGAGAAAUAGAUCUAGAGAGAGAGGGCAACACGUGGCUGUUUUCUAUUUUUUUUCUAAAUCCCUCAAAACCCUUAGUAUAUAUAUAGUAGGAAAGGAGGGAGAGUGUUGCGCCCUAGGGCUGCCCUUUCUUCCCUUGCGCAAGGAGGAGAGGAGGAGUCCUCCUUCAAUCCUAGUAGGAGUAGGCUUCCUCCUUCCCAGUUGGAAACUCUUUCCACCUUGUGUUUUUUCCUUCUCAAACCUUAUGGGCCUUAGUGGAAACUUAUUCCAGCCCACUAGGGGCUGGUUUAUCUCUUCCCAUAUCCCAUGAGGCCCCUUGGGGUGUGACACCCCUGCCGAUGGUCUCCGGCACCCCUCACGGCACUCCCGGUACACUACCGAUCAGCUCGAAACUUUUCCGGUGAUCAAAACAUGACUUCCUAUAUAUCAAUCUUUACCUUCGGACCAUUUCAGAGCUGCUCGUGACGUCCUCGAUCUCAUCCAGGACUCCGAACAACCUUUGGUCACCAACACAUAUAACUCAACUAUACCGAACCUUAAGUGUGCAGACCCUGCGGGUUCGAGAACUAUGCAGACAUGACCUGAGACACUCUCCGGUCAAGAACCAAUAGCGGGACCUGGAUGUACAUAUUGGCUCCCACAUAUUCUACGAAGAUCUCUAUUGGUUGAACCUCUAUGUCAAGGAUUCAGUUAAUCCCGUAUGUUGUUCCCUUUGUCCUUCGGUAUGUUACUUGUUGGGUUACGUAGCAUAAAUUCAAAAUUUUCCUACGCAUAUUCAGAUCUUCCUAUGGAGAGACCAGCAACGAGAGAGGGGUAAGAGCAUCUUCAUACCUUUGAAGAUCGCUAAGCGGAAGGGUUGCUAGAACGCGGUUGAUGGAGUCGUACUCGCAGCGAUUCCGAUCUAGUGCCGAACUACGACACCUCCGCGUUCAACACACGUGCAACCUGGUGACGUCUCCCACACCUUGAUCCAGCAAGGAGGAGGGAGAGGUUGGGGAAGAACUCCAGCAGCACGCGGCGUGGUGUCGAUGGAGAGACGAGGUCUCCCGGCAGGACUUCGCCAAGCACCGGUAGAGAGGAGGAGAAAGAAGAGCAGGGCUGCGCCGAGGGAGAGGGAAAAGUCUAUCUCUCAAUGGCAAAAAGUGCCCGAUAUAUAUAGGGGGAGGGGAGAGGGGGUGCCACCCCUAGGGUUCCCACCCUAGGGGGUGCGGCAGCCCCCCAGAUGGGAGGUGCGGCGGCCAGAGGGGGGAGGAGGGGGUGGCGCACCAUCUGGUGGGCCUUAGGCCCACCUGGCUUAGGGUUUGCCCCCCCCCCUUUUCUCUCCCCUGCGCAUUGGGCUGAGUGGGGAGGCGCACCAGCCCACCUAGGGGUUGGUUCCCACCCCCACUUGGCCCACCUUACCUCCCGGGGUCGUUUCCCCCCUUCGGUGGUCCCGGUGGUCCCGGUGGUCCCACUAUGUUACCGGUGAUGCCCGAAACACUUCCGGUAUCCGAAACCAUCCGUCCUAUAUAUCAAUCUUUACCUCCGGACCAUUCCGGAGCUCCUCGUGACGUCCGGGAUCUCAUCCGGGACUCCGAACAUCUUUCGGUAACCUCGUAUAACAAUUCCCUAUAACCCUAGCAUCAUCGAACCUUAAGUGUGUAGACCCUAUGGGUUCGGGAGACAGGCAGACAUGACCGAGACACCUCUCUGGCCAAUAACCAUCAACGGGGUCUGGAUACCCAUGGUGGCUCCCACUUGCUCCACGAUGAUCUCAUCGGAUGAACCAUGAUGUCAAGGAUUCAAUCAAUCCCGUAUACGAUUCCCUUUGUUUGUCGGUAUAGAACUUGCCCGAGAUUCGAUCGUCGGUAUACCUAUACCUUGUUCAAUCUCGUUAACGGUAAGUCUCUUUACUCGUUUCGUAGCACGUCAUCGUGUGACUAACUCCUUAGUCACAUUGAGCUCAUGAUGAUGUUCUACCGAGUGGGCCCAGAGAUACCUCUCCGUCACACGGAGUGACAAAUCCCGAUCUCGAUUCGUACCAACCCAACAGACACUUUCGGAGGUACCCGUAGUGCACCUUUAUAGUCACCCAGUUACGUUGUGACGUUUGAUACACCCAAAGCACUCCUACGGUAUCCGGGAGUUGCACAAUCUCACGGUCGAAGGAAAAGAUACUUGACAUUAGGAAAGCUUUAGCAUAGGAACAAUGCGAUCUAGUGCUAUGCUUAGGAUUGGGUCUUGUCCAUCACAUCAUUCUCCUAAUGAUGUGAUCCCGUUAUCAAUGACAUCUAAUGCCCAUGAUCAGGAAACCAUGAUCAUCUAUUGACUAACGAGCUAGCCAACUAGAGGCUUGCUAGGGACACAUUGUGAUCUAUUUAUUCACACAUGUAUUACUGUUUCUUGUUAAUACAAUUAUAGCAUGAACAAUAGACGAUUAUCAUGAACAAGGAAAUAUGAUAAUAACCAUUUUAUUAUUGCCUCUAGGGCAUAUUUCCAACAUUACUUGCCCGAGAUUCGAUCGUCGGUAUCUUCAUACCUAGUUCAAUCUCGUCAUCGGCAAGUCUCUUUACUCAUUCCGCAAUAAAAGAUCCCGUAACUAACUCCUUAGUCACAUUGCUUGCAAGGCUUGUUGUGAUGUUGUAUUACUGAGUGGGCCCCGAGAUAUCUCUCCGUCACACGGAGUGACAAGUCCCAGUUUUGAUCCAUGCCAACCUAACAGACACCUGGAGAUACCUGUAGAGCACCUUUAUAGUCACCCAGUUACGUUGCGACGUUUGAUAGCCCACAAGGUAUUCCUCUGGUGUCCGGGAGUUGCAUGAUCUCAUGGUCAUAGGAACCGAUACAUUGACAUGGGGAAAACAGUAACAAUAAACUGACACGAUCAUUUGCUACGUUCAUAAUUUUGGGUCUUGUCCAUCACAUCAUUCUCCCAAUGAUGUGAUCCCGUUAUCAAGUGACAACACUUGUCUAUGGUCAGGAAACCUUGACCAUCUUUGAUCAAUGAGCUAGUCAACUAGAGGCUCACUAGGGACAGUGUGUUGUCUAUGUAUCCACACAUGUAUUUGAGUUUCCAAUCAAUACAAUUCCAGCAUGGAUAAUAAACGAUUAUCAUGAAUAAAGAAAUAUAAUAAUAACCAAUUUAUUAUUGCCUCUAGGUCAUAUUUCCAACAGAGGAAAGGCUCCUUGGCUGGUAGAGGACGUGGCCGGCCCUAGCUGCGAGUCAUCGGCCCGAGCCCGCCGGCUGCCUUUGAGUUUUUGCCCAGCCGUGAUUAGCCAACCGUUUUCAUGCCUUCGGCGCCUUCGCAGGAACCGUCGGUGCAGGGGCAACCGGCCGGGGCGGCGGACGGGUACGGUGACAUGGACGAGGCGGCAGAGGGCGAGUUCGCCGCAACCGUGGCGGCCGACGGGCGGGUCGUGGGCUGGCGGUCGCGAUGCGGGAGGUGAAUGAACUAGCGGUUAGGCGUUGGCGUGGGGACGCGGUUUUUACAUCACUUGUAUCUUGUGAUGUAAAUUUGCAUCAUGCAGUUUUCAUUUUUACAUCACCGGGAGGCCGCAAUUGAUUUUUUUACAUAUGGACCGUUUGUUGGAGCAUUGUUUUUUUCCCAAGACGAUCCAAAAUUUAGGUAUUUUUACAUUUGUAUCAUCUAUUGGAGAUGCUCUUACAAAGGGUUAACUCAACAAAAUAUUCUCUUUUGAGGGGUUAACCGCACCUAGCUGGACGCCUGGACUCCUAUCCGGCUAACUCCUUAAGUAUUUGAGGAGUUAAGCGUGAAAAACUUCUCAAGGCUCUCAUUUUUGAGUGGGCGAGACAAGUUAUCGGCAAAACACCCCCGCUUCCCAACUCCUUCUCGCGACGCAUCCGCUAAUCAGUGUCACAGUCAGAGCCAUCGGAUACCCCCAUUUCGACGGGAAUGACAUGGGAGGGCGCUUCCAUGUCAAGGAAGCACUCGGGACAAAUAGCGUGGUGAGAACCAUCGCACCGUCGAAAAAGGCAAGCCGUAAGGGUAUGCUUUCACGAAGACGAGAGGUUCCCCUCCAUUUGCUCCGGCUGGUGGCAAGCGAGUGAGGAAGCCACCAGUGGCCGACAAGACGCUUAACAAAGUGCCGGCAAAGAAAAGGAAGAAGAUGUGCACGUCGACGCCUUCUCUGUCAUAGCCCUUCUCCAGCAUCCCCUAUCACCUCCUCCUUUAGCGCGUUUGCCCGCGGCGGAGGUCUGCCAACUACUCGACAAAAUGUCAAAAUGCAUGUGGGGUAAUUUGUUUUUCUGCUGUGGAUAUUGGUAGUAAUGUUUUGCAGCGGAUAUCUUGGGACGUGCUUGUGGUUGUUUAUUUUAGUGUGGAGGAGCAGUUGCAAAUUUCAUGUCUCAAUUGGAUUCAUCACACAUAAUCAGCCUUGACGAUCUAGAUUACGAUGGUCCAAGGUAUGCUCAAGAAACAAGAGAGGGAGGAGGAUGAUCAAAAAGUGAAAGAGGUCAAUGAUCCCGUGGAGCCACAAUAAAGCAUUAUGAAGACGAUAUAGAGGGCAGUAGGGCGUUCAGUGGCACCAUACUAGUUGAGUCUCAUCCAAUUUCGUAUUCUAACCCUUCUUUUGACAUGAUUAACAUUUAUGAACAAUACGCGUGUGAGAUUCUUUCCUCUAAAUGGACAUACAAAGAACGUUGCAAUAAUAAUUUGCACUAAAAGAUACUAUAAAAUCAGGAACUGAAGAUGACAGAUUCCAACAAAAGUGUACCCCUUCUUGAAUAUAUAUAGUAACACUAUUCAUCAUCGAGGGUGUAGAAUGAGUUAUUCUUCAUCCGAAGUAAUCUUACGGUUGUUUCAUAAAUAAUUUUUUUUUUACAAAUAGUUAUAUGCAUAUUGUUUCAUUAUAUAAAAUUUGGCAUAAGAAAACAAUUAUAUAUGUCAGAAGACCAGAAAAAAUGCAUUUUAUGUGUAUUUUACACUAUAUUUUUACGUUUGUAACUUUAAAUAGCGUAAAAUAUUUUUAUGACGAUUUAAUAUUUUCUUUAGUUCCUUUUUUGGUAAAAAGUAAGAAAAAAAAGUACGAACAGUAAAAAUACGGUGCAUUGAUGGUAAAAUAGAGGGGACGAAGAAUAACUAUUCCUCACCUAGGAUGACGAAUAGCGCGACUAUUCGUCACAUCAAUGCACCAUAAUUUUAUGUUCUGUUUUUUCUUCAUACGUAAAAAGAGACCGUAACAAGAUAUAUAGUCAUUAUAAAAAAUAUUUUAUGUCACCUAAAAUUACAAACAUAAAAACAUAGUGUAAAAUAUACAUGAAAUGUGAUUUUUUGAUCUUAUGACCUCUAUUUUUAAUUUUUUACAUCAAAUUUUACGUAAUGGAUCAACAUUAAUGAAACUAUUGGUAUUACAAAUGUAAUAUAUGUAUGAAACGGUCGUAAGAUUACCUGGGUGAGGAAUAACUUAUUUUGCACCCUCGGUGAAUCAUUAUUCAGGAUGCAGAAUAGUUUAUUCUUCAUCCGAGAUAUUUGUACGAUCAAUUUACUAAUAAAUUAAGUUUCAAAUACAAAUAAUUAAAUUUAUAUUGAAUCACUAUGUAAAAUUUGACAAAAUCAAAACAAAAGUAUAGGUCACAAGACUAGAAAAAUUUGAAUUUAUUGUAUUUUUUGCACUAUUUUUGUAUGUUCGUAAUUUUACGUGACAUAAAAUAUUUUUACGUUGAUUAUAUUUUUUUUACUGUCUCUUUUUAUGUAUAAAAUAAGACAAAAUUUACGGAACGUAAAAUUACGGUGCAUUGAUGUUAAAAUUAUGGUGAAUUGAUGUUAAAAUUAUAUAUAUACUAGAUUCAUGCAUGUCAGUAAAAUUUAGCGGCACCGUUCUCGUCGUCACCUAUAUUGUUAAGUGGACUAGUUGGACCAUCGCAAUGACGUGUUGGGUCACCCUUGACACGUGUCAGUGGCAUCUCGAACAUGUUGAGAUAUUCGCCUGCUGUCAGUCGGUGGCCACCACCACUCGAGAACAUUUGUGGCGGGUGUCGAGGGCUUAAGUGAUGUGGUCGUGUGGCAAUAGUUUUUUUUAUAGUGAAGUGAGGCGAUCACACACAGGAAAGAGUGGGGUGCAUGUGGGGGAGAAGACGAUAUGGCAACUAUUGAGUUUAGUCCAUAUUGAUUGUGGGAGCAGGCAUAACAGAAUUUAUAAGGGUGUGGGUGUCCCCUCCUAUCACGCAAGCUUUCUUUUUAAACGAAGGGUCCAAGCCCUGAAUUAAGUCUGUGUUCCUCUCUGGUUGGGCCUGGUUACCGCGCUGAGACGCUCGUGGAGGAUGUGGGUCAUGGUAGUUUGGUGGUUCAGAGGAAGAGGAUGAACAAUAAUGAUUUUUGAGGUUGAAGAAGAUGAUCUGGCCAUCCGUAUUGAAUCCAACGGCUCACAACGAUUCGACUGGCCCAAAUUCGAUUUUCGGUCACGUGACAUCUAUCGAUUCCCAUCAUUUUGCACUAAGUGAUGGACUAUGAUUUGCUCAACCAGUCCACUAAACCCAUGCAAUUUAUACACGGCUAGUUACUUUCAAGCCGGCUUAGGUAGCUAGACAUAUUUUUUCUUGUAAUAAAGGAAUACAUUAAUGUCACUACAAGAAAUAUGCCAACUUGUGACAUUCUCUUGGAGACCGUGAAUGAAUUGGUCGUAAGUCUACGACCAUUUUGAUCGAAUUGGUCAUAAGCUAUUUUAGAGGGUUCAAACCCUCAACCAUAACGACCAUUUUUAGGGGAAAGGUCGCAAUUGCCUGGCAUGAAAUGGUCGUAAAGCAGACAACUAGGAUUGACAACCUUAUUUUUAGCAGAAGACGACCAAUCUAGAUGGCCAUAACCAUGUAAAUUGCGGUGUGUUGCUAUGACCGGGCGCCACCUCAUCAAUUUCGCUUGUGUGUCAUGUAUAUGUGUCAUGUUUAUGUGUUAAUUUACGCUUACUUGUCUAGAUCAAAUAUACCAAUGAUGGGUGGAACCCAUGCAUUGACUGGUUAACCUACACCUCAGACCCACCACCACCUUACACGCUGGACCCAGUACAUCUCGGACCCAACACCAACAUACACGUCGGACCCACCCUAUCAUGGGUCCCACCAACCUGACAUGAAAGACCCACCAUUGAACUGACUUGUUGCCCCACCACGGAUGUGACAUGGAGGCUAAACCGGAGAUAGUAGAAAAAUAGGAAAGAAAUAUGCGUUGAUGGGAUUCGAACCCGUGACGCCCUAAGAGCAAGUUCAGGAGUUCCCCCAUACCUUCCCUGGUCAUUUUUUUAAGGGAGAAAGGCAAAAAAACUGCCUCCAACAGUGCCCCGAUCUACUCCGGAUAUUUUGGCCUCCCCGAAAACGUUUCCUCUCUCCCCUCUAUCUAGGGGAACGAGGACCUCCCCGAUCCCCUCCCCGACAUGCCGAGCGAAGCAACUGCCGGCUCCGAAAAGCUCCCUCCCGCCACCACCCCGCCGCCACCACCGCAUUGCAGGUUCGUUCCCUCCUUUGUUUUCUCUCAGAUCUCGGCAAAAAAUAAUAAUCUAGGCUAGGGAGUAAUGGUGAUGUUGGAGAGUGAUGCAGGGGUGCGCAGUCGCCGUGUGAGGAUGGGGAGGCGCUGGAAGGGAGGAGCUGGGCGUUGUUGCUAGAGAUUUGGGCGCUGCUGCUUGCUAGAGUUUUUGCUACCGCUUUGCUAGAGAGAACAGAGAGAGAGAGAGCAGAGAUAUGAGAGAUUGGGAGAUGCACUGUUUGCUGAACAUUAAUUCAGAUAUACAAUGCUUCUUUUUAUAUAUAGAUCAGAGAGAUAACUUGUUGAUUGCUAUAGAUCAGUGAGCUAUUGUACUGCUGAUUGCUGCACAUUUAGAUAUAGAUCACAGAGAUUGCUUGCUACUGAUUUCGGUUGCUAUUGCUAGUAAUUUGCUAGUGAUUGCUGCUGCUAUUUGCUUUCAUUUGUAUUUGCUACUGAUUGCUCCAAGUUAUUUGCUACUCGGAGAUAAAUUUACAUAUCAAUUUGCGAUUGCUUGCUGCAAGUUAUUUCCUACUAGGAGAUGACAUUUAAAUAGCUAUUUGUGACUGCUUGCUGCUAGUUAUUUUCUACUGGUUGUUGAACAUCUAUAUGAUGUAUGGUUUGUUUGUUUUGUUUCAUAUUUUCAUAAUGGACGGUCAGAGUUAUUUGAUCUUUUGCAAAGUGAUGUCGGCUUGAAUGAUUUGCACUGGACUGAAGAAGAACAAAUCGACCUCGAAAAGAAUGAAGAAAAACAAAUUGAUCUUGAAGGGCCUAAAUAAACUAGUCGUUGGUAGUUAUGAAAUAUUCUUAAAAUAUAGAAUAAGGGAGAUGUUUAGGGGAACUAGUGGAGUUGAGCAAUCUUUAGGGGAGAAUCUUUGUAAGUUAGUCCCCUGUUUUGAGAUAUAGGGGAGAAAUUUUUGGGAAACUGUUGGACUUCCCCUAAGAAAACACGGUGGUUUCUUACCACCACGCCACCACCCAAGUAACGAUACGAAACUCCACUCGCUACUUUUAUACGAAACAGUCGCUUCCUGGGCUUGGGCCUAAAUCAUGAGAGAUCUCCCCUUCGCUCCUUCUUUUUCCCCUUUAGCAUUAUGGUCCAUCGAGUGGCACUAUAACAAAUGUGAUAAUCUAUGAUGCACAUUCUGUGACGAUUCAAUGUAAAAACGUGAGGGAAUCAUCUAAAUUUCAAAAAAUAUGACGUUUUUUCACAGAAUCGUCACAAAAUGAGCGUCUUAGAUUAUCGCAUUUGUUGUAGUGUGGGCCAACGGCCCAUGGCCUAUUAGAAGAUCUUUUCUCGUGGGAAAUGUGUGUUUUUUUGUUUUUUUUCUUCUUUACAAUAUUUCGUGAUUUCAGAAAAUCUCCACACAUUUAAAAAAUUUAUUUUGGAAAAAUGCUCGUGAAAUCAUGAAAUGUUCGUCCAUUAAAUAUGUUCAUGAUUUUUGAAAAAUUUGCGUAUUGAAAUAAUGUUCACGGAUUUGACAAACAAAUGGGAAUUCAAAAAAUCAUCACAAUUUUUUCAUAAAAUGUUCAUUGACGUGAAGGUUUAGAUUUUUUUUAUUUUCUUAUUUUAUACCGAUUUUAAAACCAGGUCACAUAUAAUGAUAGAAUACAAAGGCUUUCCAUAUUUUUUGACACAAUGCAAAUGUUCCUUUUUUACAUGGAACCAUUUGGAAAUUUGUACAUGAAAUGUGGUCUAAUAAUUUCGAAAAUGUUCCGGUAUAGUUUUACAACAAAUAUUUGGUAGUUUCUUCACAAAAAGAACUCAUUUUGUGCACUUAAAAAAUCAAAAUUCCCUUUGGCAACAUUGUUUGCCAUUGCAAGAUGCACCCUUGAAACACAUAAAACUUCACACAACAUAGUUCAUUUCUGAGAAGACUUUUAAAAGGUAUUUAUCGUAGUCCAAAUUUUUUAUUUCUCCUCAAAACAAGAUCACAUAUGAUGACACAAUGCGAAGGUUUCCAAUUAUUUUAACUCUUUUUUCUAAUUUCUUAUGUCCGUUUUAAAAUGCGGUCAAAACGACGGGCAUGAUCGUUCGUAGCUAGGGGUUGAAUCUUGGAAAAACUUUUGGUGUCUUUGAUAAAACCUAUAGUUAUGUACCUAUAGUUCAAAGUUGACCCACUUCUUGCAGAAUCGACCGAAAUUUGUAGUUCAAACUUGACCCGCUUCUUGCUGAAUCUAUCGAAAUUUGUCUUUUUCAUGAGAAGUGACUAAAAAAACUCACUUUAGUCACUCGAAUAAUGCAAAAUGAAUUUACCGUCCAAAGAAAAUGAAAACUUUCUUAGGCAACAUUGUUUGCCAUUCCAAAAUGCACGAUAUUAGAUCAUUUGAAUAAACUAUACAUGAAUGUGGCCAUAAGAUUGAUCAUUUGACUUCAAAGCCAUGAAUCUUCAUACAUGAUAACUCAUUUUUUAGAACACAUUUAAAAAAUAUUUACCUUAUUAUAAUUUUAUUAUUUUUCCUAAUAACUUGGUCACGUAUAAUUAGACAAUGCGAAGGUUUUUCAAUUUUUUGAUUUGUUUUUGAAUUUUUCAAGCCCAUUUCAAAAUGUAGUCAAAACGUCGGGCACGAUCGUUCCUAUCUAGUGGUUGAAUCUUGAAAAACUUCUAAUGUUUCUAUGGUUAAAUAGAUACUUGUUUACCUAGAAAUGAUUUUUGGAAAAAAUAAAGAACAAACUAUGACUCAGCCGCCGUUCAAACUUGACCCGCUUUUUACUAAAUUGGCCGAAAUUUAUCCUUUUCACAAGAUGUGGCUUAAAACUUUUGACACUCAACCAUUUGGUCAAUUGUACAUUAAAAAUGUCCUAAUAUUUUAAAAAAUUGAUUUGGUCCAAAAUUGCCACAAUUAUAUGCUAGACCCUUCAUAAAAAACUCAUUUUAGUCACUUGAAAAAUGGAAAAUAAACUGUUCGUUCAAAAAAAAUAGAAAACUUCGUUACACAACAUUGUUUGCCAUUACAAAAUGCACCAUUUUGCACAAUAUUAGAUCAUUUGAACAAGUUAUGCCAUGAAUGUGGCCGUAAGAUUGAUCAUUUGGUUUGAAAGCCUUGAAUCUUCACAAAUGGUAACUCAUUUCCGAGAAUACUUUUUUUAAAAUAAUUUUCGUAUUAUAAUUUUAUUGUUUUUCCUCGUAACUUGGUCACAUUUAAUGACACAAUGGGAAGGUUUUCCAAUUUUUUUAUUUUUUUUAAAUUUUCAUGCCCGUUUCAAAAUGCAGUCAAAACAACGGGCAUGACCGUUCCUAUCUAGUGGUUGAAUCUUGGAAAAGUUUUGAUGUUUCUCUCAUUAAAUAUAUACUUAUGUAUCUAGAAAUGAUUUUUGAAAAAAAUAAAGAGCAAACUACGAGGCAACUGCAGUUCGAAUUUGUCGCGCUUCCAACUAAAUCAGCGGAAAUUUGUCUUUUUCACGAGAGUUGAUCAAAAGUUUUGACACUCAACCAUUUGGUCAAUUGUACAUUAAAUAUGGCCUAAGAUUUUAUUAAAUUGAUUUAGUCCAAAUUUGCAACAAAUAUUUGUUAGGUUCUCCAGAAAAGAACUUCAUUUUGGGCACUUGAAAAAUGGACGAGAGGUGGACGAAAAACUUUUAAGAAGGAAGUAUUUGGUCAAUUUGUACAUAAAACACGGUCGAAUAUUUUUUAAAAUUGUUGCGGUCCAAUUUUUUAACUAAUAUUUGAUAGGUUAUUCACAUAGGUGAAAACAAAAAAGAGAAAGACAAAGAAAGAAAACACAUUUACAUAAGCUUAAUUCUCGUUGGUGGAGAUGUUUGUGCCAUGGAUUGAUGACAUGGCACACAUCCAUCCAUAUAUCCAUCCACCCGCAGCCCAAACCCUAACUCCAAUACUCCCAUCGGUCCCCUCCCCCUCUCCCCCGAUUCAGAUCCAGUCCUCGCUGCCGCCACCUACCUCAAGCCGAUCCUGUCGUCCAUGCCCGCGCGCCAUCACCCGCUCCGCGACCACCACCCGCUCCUCCUUGCCUCCCGGAGGACGCAGACCCCACGUCGCUCUUCCUCCGCCCGCCAACCCACCCCGUCCUGGAGGCCUCACUAGCUUCCUUCCGUCGCAGGGUCACCGCGCUCAUCGCGCCCUCGGUACGCACCUCCACCGCCAUCUUUGCUGGCUCCUCGCCUCCGCCUCCGCCCCCGCUAAUUCCCCGCCCAGCGGCUACCCGGUGGCGCUCCACCUCCUUCGUGCGCCACUCGAUGAGCUCGAGGCCCUGUGGCUAUGCCAUGUUUGGGACAGGUGCCCGUUCCAGUACGUGGUCGGGAACGAGCACUGGAAGGACCUGGUGGUCGCCAUUCGGGACAGUGUACUCAUCGCACGGCCGAAGGCGGAGGCCGUCGUGGACAUGGUCACCACCAUCGAUUGCGAGCUGGAGUCCUGGGCCUUCCCCUCAUCAUCCUCGGCGGCGACAUGUGGAUGAGCCACCGGACGAUAAGCAGCAGAUCAUGUUUGCGCUGACCUCCAUCAAGGGUGUGGGCCGCCACUUCUCCAACAUCAUCUGCAAGAAUGCCGAGAUCGACAUGAACAAGAGGUGAGGAACCGUCCCCCUUUCUCGCCAGAUCUCGUCGUGGUGGGUGGGGGAUGAGUCGUGCACUGUCUUCUGUGUGGUGUGCGGGGCUGAAAAGCUUUCCGCUAAGGAGAUGGUUGUAUGAUGGCGGUGGUGCACAAUUCACGUCAGUUCAAGGUGUUGGACUGGUUCCUGAACAGGAAGAAGGACUAAAAGAAUGGGAGUUUCUCCCAGUUCAUCUCCAAAGCCACCGAAUUGAAGCUCAGGGAUGACCUUGAGAGGCUCAAGAAGAUAACGUAUAAACUCGUCCCCCCUUGUUUGUUUUUGCUUCAUACUGUUGGCUGAUUGAUCGGUGAUUAGGUGCUAGGUUCAACUUGUUAUGAUCCUGUUAACUAACAUCUUGCACAUGCUUUAGUGGUAGAAGUAGUUGAUAUCUCAUCCAAUACUUUACAACCUAGUCUUGGGAUUCACAUAGUGGGUUUCUGGAAGGAGAUCUCCAAACAUUAGAAUGCCUGAAAUGCGUUUAUUCUGUUGUUCUUGAUGGGCGUAGUGUUGUUCUGGUAGGAUGUACUAACUUCAUGUGCUUUAUUCUAUACUCGUUUAUACACACAACAAUGUGGCUAGAGUUUGAUUUUCAGUCGGUAUAGUCUGCUUAUGUGAUACGUCUCCAACGUAUGCAUAAUUUUUGAUGGUUCCAUGCUAUUAUCUUGUCAUCUUUGGAUGUUUUGUAUGCAUGAAUAUGCUAUUUUAUAUCUUUUUUGGGACUAACCUAUUAACUUAGUGCCAAGUGCCAGUUCUUGUGUUUUCUGUGUUUUGACCUUUUUGAGAGGAGAAUAUUGAACGGAGUCCAAAUGGAAUAAAACCUGCGGAAUGAUUUUUUCCAUAAUAGAAGACAUGCAGGAGACUUGAGAACAAAGGAAUGGGAGCUCGGAGGAUGUCACAAGCCACCCAGGCCCGACCUAGGGGGGGCCUAGCAGGCUUGUGGGCCCCCUGUGGCUCCCCUGCCCUAGUUCUUCCGCCUAUAGAUUCCUUAAAAAUCUGAAACCACGGAAGAGAGCCACGAAAAUACUUUUCCGCCGCCGCAAUCUUCUGUCUUCGCAAGAUCCCAUCCGGGGCACGUUCUGGUGCCCUGUAGGAGGGGGGAUUCGAACACGGAGGGCUUCUUCAUCAACACCAUUGCCUCUCCGAUGAUGCGUGAGUAGUUCACCACAGACCUUUGGGUCCAUAGCUAGUAGCUAGAUGGCUUCUUCUCUCUCUUGGAUCUUCAAUACAAAGUUCUCCAUGAUCUUCAUGGAGAUCUAUCCGAUGUAAUCUUAUUUUGCGGUGUGUUUGUCGAGAUCCGAUGAAUUGUGGAUUUAUGAUCAGAUUAUCUAUGAAUGUUAUUUGAGUCUCCUCUGAUCUCUUAUAUGCAUGAUUUUGUAUCCUUGUAAUUCUCUUCGAGUUGUGGGUUUAGUUUGGCCAACUUGAUCUAUAGUUCCUGCAAUGGGAGAACUGCUUGGUUUUGGGUUCAUACCGUGCGGUGAUCUCACCCAGUGACAGAAGGGGUAGCGAGGCACAUAUCGUGUUGUUGCCAUCAAGGGUAAAAUAUGGGGUUUAUAUCUAUUGCAUGAAUUUAUCCCUCUACAUCAUGUCAUCUUGCUUAAGGCGUUACUCCGUUUGUCAUGAACUUAAUACACUAGAUGCAUGCUGGAUAGUGGUUGAUGUGUGGAGUAAUAAUAGUAGAUGCAGAAAGUAUCGGUCUACUUGUCUCGGACAUGAUGCCUAUAUGUAUGAUCAUUGCCUUAGAUAUCAUCAUGACUUUGCGCGGUUCUAUCAAUUGCUCGAUAGUAAUUCGUUCACCCACCGUAAUACUUGCUAUCAUGAGAGAAGCCUCUAGUGAACACUAUGGCCCCCGGGUCUACUUCACAUCAUAUUUUCAGCUUUACACUUUUAGUUUGUUGCACUUUCCACCUUCAGAUCUCACCUUCUAGUUAACCGUGAAGGGAUUGACAACCCCUUUGUAGCGUUGGGUGCAAGUUUGCUUGUUUUUGCGCAGGUACUUUGGAGACUUGCCUUGAUAGUCCUACUGGAUUGAUACCUUGGUUCUCAAACUGAGGGAAAUACUUACUGCUACUGCGCUGCAUAACCCUUUACUCUUCAAGGGAAAAACCAACGCAAGAUCAAGAGGUAGCAUUAUGUUACUCUUUGGUUGGAGGCAAUUAGAAUGUUGUAGGUUUAGUAUGAACGUGUCUUAAUCCAUUGGAUGCCCUUGGCUAGUUUAGUUGGUAUCUAAUCUAAAAUAAUUUAUUUUCCCAUUUUUUGUUUCCUUGCUAGACAUGUCAUGGUACAAGUGCCGGUGCCGAUGUUUACUACCCCCGCCGUAAAGAAAUAUAAGAGCGUUUAGAUCACUACUUUAGUGAUCUAAAUUCUCUUAUAUUUCUUUACACAGGGAGUACAUGGUAUUAUUGUUAGCUAUAUAUAUACCUCAUACGUCUCCAUCGUAUCUUCUUUUCCAAACUCUUUUGCCCUUGUUUUGGACUCUAAUUAGCAUGAUUUGAGUGGAUCUAACCCGGACUAACGAUGUUUUCACCACAACUGCCAUGGUGUUGUUUUUGUGUAAAAAUAAAAGUUCUCGCAAUGACCGGGAAACUUAUGAGGAUUUUUUGUGGAAUAUAUAAAAAAUAUUGGCGGAAGAAUUACCUGAAGACAUGGAGCCAGGGGCCCACAAGCCCAGGAGGUGCACCCCCCUAGGGCGGGCCUGGCAGGCUUGUGGGGCCCACGUAGCUCCGCAGCCUCCAACUCCAACUCUAUAAAGUCUCUCUUGCCUAGGAAAAAUUAAGAGAGAAGAGUUCAUCGCGUUUCACGACACGGGGCCGCCGCCACCACCUGUUCUUCCUCGGGAGGGCAGAUCUGGAGUCCGAUCUGGGCUCCGGAGAGGGGAAAUCGACGUCGUCGUCAUCGCCAACCAUCCUUCAUCGCCAAUUCCAUGACGCUCUUCACCGUUCGUGAGUAAUCUCAUCAUAGGCUUGCUGGAUGGUGAUGGGUUGGAUGAGAUCUAUCAUGUAAUCGAGUUAGUUUUGAUGGGGUUUGAUCCCUAGUAUCCACUAUGUUCUAAGAUUGAUGUUGCUACUACUUUGCUAUGCUUAAUGCUUGUCACUAGGGCCCGAGUGCCAUGAUUUCAGAUCUGAACCUAUUAUGUUUUCAUCAAUAUAUGUGUGUUCUUGAUCCUAUAUUGCAAGUUGUAGUCACCUACUAUGUGUUAUGACCCGACAACCCCGGAGCGACAAUAGCCGGAACCACUUCCGGAGAUGGCCAUAGUAUGAGGAGUUCAUGUAUUCACUAUGUGCUAAUGCUUUGUUCCGGUUCUCUAUUAAAAGGAGACCUUAAUAUCCCUUAGUUUCCGUUAGUACACCGCUGCCACGGGAGGGAUGGACAAAAGAUGUCAUGCAAGUUCUUUUCCAUAAGCACGUAUGACUAAAUACAGAAUACAUGCCUACAUUACAUUGAUGAACUGGAGCUAGUUACAUAUCACCCUAUGUUAUAACUAUUACAUGAUGAAUGUCAUCCGACAUAAUUAUCCAUCACCGAUCCAAUACCUACGAGCUUUUCCUAUACCGGUCCAUGCUAAAUUACUUUACCGCUACUGCUGUCACUACGGCUGCUGUUACUGCUGCUACCGUUACUAUCACACUACUUUUCUACUAAAACUUUGCUGCAGAUACUAAGUCUUGCAGGUCUGGUUGAAUUGACAACUCAACUGCUAAUACUCAAGAAUAUUCUUUGGCUUCCCUUGUGUCUAAUCAAUAAAUUUGGGUUGAAUACUGUACCCUCGAAAAUUGUUGCGAUCCCCUAUACUUGUGGGUUAUCAAGACCUUUUUGUGGCACCGUCGCCGGGGAGCAUAGCUCUAUUCUCUGAGUCACUUGGGAUUUACGUCUGUUGAUCACUAUGAGGAAUCCGAGAGAUCCAAAAACUAAAGUCUUGCCCUCAACUACGAGGACAGGUAAGGAACUGCCAUCUAGCUCUGCACUUGAUUCACCUUCAGUUAUGAGUAAAUUUGCGACACCACCAACUAUUGGUAAUUCUGAUAUGUCGCAUGUGCUUGAUGAUGCUGCUUCUGCUAUCCAUGAUUCUUAUGAUGAUGCUUUGCUUGAUAAUGAGAUGACACUAGGUGCAUUUCUUGAUGCACAAAUUGCUAGAGUUACUGAUGAAUGUGAUGAUACUUCUGAAACUGAUGAAAUUAUUGAAGUGGAACCUGCUGUUACACCUGUUAGACCUAGCUCUCCCAGAUAUGAAUUGCCUGAUAUACCUAAGGGUUAUGUUAUGGAGGGAGAGGUAGCUGAAGGCUUUCUUGCUUGUAAGGAUAGCUAUGAUCUUGAGAAUUUAUUACGUAAGUGGAAAGAAAAAUCUCUGAAUGCUUGAAUGAAAUAUGAUCCUAAGUUUGCUACUUCGCCCAUCUUUGUUACUGAUAAGGAUUAUGAAUUCUCUGUUAAUCACUUUGGUUGAAUCUGAUCCUUUUCAUGGUUAUGAGUCUGAAACGGUUGUAGCACAUCUUAGCAAACUGAAUGAUAUAGCCACCCUAUUCACGAAUGAGGAAAAAAAGUUCUCCAUUACUAUAUCCUUAAGUUGUUUCCUUUCUCACUAAAGGGUGAUGCUAAAACUUGGUUUACUUCUCUUUCUCCUGGUUGUGUGCGUAGUCCCCAGGAUAUGAUAUACUACUUCUCUGAGAAAUAUUUUCCUGCCCAUAAGAAACAAGCUGCCUUAAAGGAUAUAUAUAACUUUGUGCAAGUUGAAGAAGAGAGUCUCCCACAAGCUUGGGGGGGGGGGCUUGUCCAGUUACUGAAUGCUUUGCCUGAUCACCCUCUUGAGAAAAAUGAAAUACUUGAUAUCUUUUAUAAUGGACUAACCGAUGCUUCUAGGGAUCACCUAGAUAGUUGUGUUGGUUGUGUUUUCAGGGAAAGAACUAUGGAACAAGCUGAAAUUCUAUUGAAUAAUAGCUUGAGCAAUGAUAAUGCUUGGACUAUUCCCGAACCACCUCCGAAGCCAAGAGGUAUUCUAUUCCUCAGUCCUGAAGAUAUGCAAGAAGCCAAGAAAUCUAUGCAAGAGAAAGGUAUUAAAUCUGAAGAUGUUAAGAAACUACCACCUAUUGAAGAAAUACAUGGUCUUGAUAACCCGACACAGGUAGUAGAGGUAAAUUCUCUUCGUAGAUUCAAUGAGAGUGAUAUUCCAUAUGAUAAACCUGCUAGCUUAUGCUUAGAUGAAUUUGAUAACUUUGUUGUCAAACAACAAAGUUUUAAUGAUUAUGUUAGCAGACAAUUGAAACAAAAUGCUCGUAUGAUUAAUCAUAUAAGUGCUUGUGUGGAUAGAAAUGUCAAUGAUCUUAAGCUUUUGGGAAAACAUGCUUCUAUGGUCACUACUCAAGUAGAACAAGUACUUAAGGCUCAAAAUGACUUGCUUAAUGAGUUGAAUGACAAUUCUGUUAGAGUUGUCACUAGAGGUUGUAGAAUGACUCAGGAACCUUUGUAGCCUGAGGGCCAUCCUAAGAGAAUUGAACAAGAUUCUCAAGGAGUUAACACUCAUGCACCUAGUCAUCCUGGUAACAGGAAGAAAAUAAAGAUGAUAGGAACUUGCAUGCUAGCAAACCUGUUGCCGUUACACCCGAGAAUCCAAAUGAUGUCUCUAUUUGUGAUGCCGAAACACAAUCUGGUGAUGAACAUGAGCCUAGUGAUAAUAUUGAUAAUGGUGUUCAUGUUGAUACUCAACCUAGUAAUGAUAAGGAUGUGGAGAUUGAACCUGUUGUUGAUCUUGAUAACCCACAACCUAAGAACAAGCUAUAUGAUAAGAACGACUUUAUUGCUAGGAAGCAUGGUAAAGAAAGAGAACCAUGGGUUCAGAAACCCAUGCCCUUUCCUCCCAAACCAUCCAAGAAAAAGGAUGAUGAGGAUUUUGAGUGCUUUUUUGAAAUGAUUAGACCUGUCUUUUUGCAAAUGUGUUUGGCUGAUAUGCUUAAAAUGUCUCCUUAUGCUAAGUACAUGAAAGAUAUCGUGACUAAUAAAAGGAAGAUACCUGAGGUUGAGAUUUCCACCAUGCUUGCUAAUUACACCUUCAAGGGUGGGACUCCUAAGAAACUAGGUGAUCCCGGAGUGCCCACUAUACCUUGCUCCAAUAAAGGAAAUUAUGUUAGAACUGCUUUAUGCGACCUUGGAGCCGGUGUUAGUGUUAUGCCUCUCUCUUUAUAUCGCAGACUUGAAUUGGAUAAGUUGACACCUACUGAAAUGUCUUUGCAAAUGGACGACAAAUCAACUGGUUUUCCUAUCGGCAUUUGCGAGGAUGUGCUUGUUGUGGUUGCGAACGUUACUAUCUUAACGGACUGUGUUAUUCUGGAUAUUCCCGAGGAUGAUGCCAUGUCGGUCAUCCUUGGAAGAUCCUUUCUAAACACUGCAGGGGCUGUUAUUAAUUGCAACAAAGGCAAUGUCACUUUCCAUGUUAAUGGUAAUGAGCACAUGGUGCACUUUCCGAAGAAACAAUAUCGAGUUCAUUUCAUCAAUGCUAUUGAAAAAUCUUCAUCCAUUAUUAUUGGAGGCUUUGAUUGCCCUAUACCUACUAUCAAGAUGAAAUAUGAUUUACUUGUUGGGGAUAUGCACAUCCCCGUUGAGGUAACCUAGUGAUUAUUCGAAAAUUCUCCGUUUUUAUGUGUUUCGAAAAAAGUUUGUCAAGGAGACUUGAUCAACCUCAUUGACGGAUUUCUGUUGAUGACCAUGAGAUGGAUGAAUCUAGGAGUCACAACCUUCUGUUCCCAACUUUUACUUUCUGUUGUUUAGAAGAAAAAUAAUAAUUUUAGCUUUAUUUUCCUAUUUUCCGCGUUUUCCGUUCAAUAGAAAAGUGACCCGAAAAUAAAAGUUCUCCAAAUGCCCUGAAAUUCAAGUAUGAUUUUUUCUGGAAUAUUUGAAAAUUUCUGAGAUAGAUAACUAGUCACGGGGAUGCACCAGUGGGCCACAAGCCCAGGAGGCGCGCCCACCCCCCUGGGCGCGCCUGGCAGGCUUGUGGGUCCCACAUGACCCCCCUCCACUUAUUCCAGCUCCCAUCUCCUUCGUCUACCUCCAGAAAAAUUAUUCCACUGCUCAAACCCGUGUUCUUGCUCUUUGUGCUGCAUUUUUCAAUCUCCUUGUGCAAAGCUCCAUACACCAAACUGUUUUGGGGAAUUUUUCCUUGGUAUGUGACUCCUCCAUCGAUCCAAUUAGUUUUUGUUCUAGUGCUUUAUUCGUUGCAUAUUUUUGCUGCCUUGGUGACCCCGUUCUUGAGCUUUGCAUGUUAAUUUUAGUUGGUCCCAAGUAGUUUUGAUGCAUGAUAUGGCCUCUAGGAACUUGUAGGAGUAGUUGCUAUGAGUUUUGUUGAGCCUUGUUCACUUUUCUUUUGAGUCACUAAAAAUUUCAAAAAAAGAAGAUGUUCACGAAAAACUAUCAUGGUGGUUCCUCAAGCAAAAGGGGUCCCCGUCUCACGAUUCGGGAGCCCGAUCCUUAUCAGCCGAGGAACGCACAGGUGCAACCAUGUGAAUGGCCUUCCGAUGACUUUAUGAUUGAUGCAGGUUUCAAGGACGAGUUUGAUACUUUUGUUCACAACGCCGGGCUCAAAGAAUUCAUCUCCAAUAAAUGUGAACAGUAUACUACACUCACCGCCUCUUUUGUUCGUAGAUUCAAAUUUUCAGUUGGCCGUGACACAUCCAUACUGUUUGAUCUUUAUGAAAAAUCGUAUACCAUGGAUUUAGAGGAUUUUAAUAGAAUUUGCAAGAUACUUGAUUGGGGUAGUCCCAAUGACCCUCCUAAAUAUUUGGUUAGAGAUUUUAUUUCUAGUAUAAUUGUUGGAGAAACUAGAGAUAUUACGCAGGCUACCAUGGGGAGCAUUCAUUUUCCUGCCUUACAUUAUUUUGCCCUCUUCAUAGGUAUAUGCAUUAACGGCAAGCAUGAGCAUAGUCACCUCUGCGCACCUAACCUUAGUAUUCUUAAGAGCGCAGUAACGAGUGAUAGAAGUUUCAACAUGGGAGCUAUAAUUGCGAGGAGGCUAAAUAGUAAUGCUAAUGAAGGGGAUUUCUUUGGUGGGAUCUAUGCCACUCGCAUAGGAAAUUUUCUUCGAAUACCCAUCCGCACAGGAGAUCCCCCGGUCCAUACAGCUUUCCUUGAUCACGCCGCUAUGAGACAUUAUCAGUUCCUUGAGAGGGAUAAUGAAUCCCUCCUAUACCGGUUAAUAUUUAACUGACAACGCGUUUUCCAUAUUACCCUUCCUGCUCCUGCCUUCUUUGACUUUCAGGGAAAACAGAGAUAUUACAUAACCAGAGGAGAGGCAGAGGAGUAUGAGAGGGAGGUGAAGGUUGCUCGCCUCCGUGAGGCAGCUAUUCAGGCGGUAGCUGCCACGUUCCCGUACAACCCCCAUUAUGAUUUUGGAUAUCGCCCGGACCAGCCGUGGGAGUAGACCAACUUAGGCCAAAAUCCUAAGCUUGGGGAGUACGUGUCUCUCACCGACUUUAUAUUCAUGCUCACACAUUCACUUUGAUAGUCGGUGUUCACACUUUGCCAUUGUAUCAUCCAUGCUAGUUUAUUUCUUUUUCUCGCUUUCUUCUUGUGUGUAAGAAAAAUUAGUUGUAAGUUUACUUUCCAGCUUGCUUAGUGGUAAUUAAAAAGAAAACCCAAAAAGAUUUCCCGUUCUUCUUUUUCUUGUUGGGAGCUUUUCCGUGUAAAUAGUUUUCUUUUUCUUUGGGUCAAGGUAGAAUAUCAUGAUUAAAAUGUUUAGUGGCUCUCAUAUGCAUAAUUGUUUAUCCGUCAGAGAGCCCGUAUUACUUUGUCUUCUCCUCUAAGUUUGCUUGCAGAUUCCAGCUUAGUCCAAUGCAGGAACACUCUCAUUAUUAUUCACUUCAUUCGGUCGUGCAAGUGAAAGGCAAUAAUGACGAUAUAUGAUGAAGUGACUGAGCCUGGAAAAGCUGGUAUGAACUCGACCUAUUUUGUUUUUGUAAAUAUGACUAGCUCAUCGUUCCUAAUUCAGCAUUGUUAUGAGAGAAACAUGUUUGCAAUGACAACUUAGAGAUCAUAGCUUCUGAUGCCAUGCUUAAUUAUCUAGGAGCUUAUAAUGGUUUGUCUUGGAUGCCAACAUGAAUUUCAAAAUGAUUAUGAUGCAGUAUGAUAAAAUGGUAUCCUCCUUUGAAUGAUUCAAGUGGCUUGACUUGGCAAAUGUUCACGCAUGUAGUUGAAACAAAAUCAACAUAGCCUCUAUGAUAUUCAUGUUUAUGGUGAUUUAUAUCCUACUCAUGCUUGCACUCAACAUUGGUUAAUUUCAAUGCAUAUUAAUGACUGUUGUCCCUCUCUAGUUGGUCGCUUCCCAGUCUUUUGCUAGCCUUCACUUGUACUAAGUACGAAUACUGCUUGUGCAUCCACUUCCAUAAACCCAAAGUUGUUCCAUAUGCGUCCACCAUACCUACCUAUAUGCGGUAUCUACCUGCCGUUCCAAGUAAAUUUGCAUGUGCCAGUCUCUAAACCUUCAAAUAAUAAUCUGUUUUGUAUGCCCGAACCGCUCAUGUGGUGACAAGGGGCGGUCAGUAUCUUCCAUGCUAGGCGUGUUAUCCUUGAUACGUGUUUAUUCACUAUCACUCACGAGAAAGGGGACGGUAAUCGGAAUGCCCAGUUCCAUGCUCAAGUCGAAAAUAUAAUUGCAAACAAAACUCCCCUGGAUUGUUGUUGGUAUGGACGGCAACCGAGGAUUCGGCUAGUCGUGGAGUGUGAUUGAUCGGUGGUGGGGGAGUCAAAACUUUACUUUUCUGUUUGGGAACCGCCUAUAAUAUGUGUAGCAUGGAAGAUGGUGAAAACUCUUGGUCAUCGCGUUGACAACGAAAGCAUGCCACCCAAAAUUAUUUAUCUCUGUUUUAAAAAGCUUGAGCUCUCGCAGCUCUGCAAAUCAAUGCUUCCCUCUGCGAAGGGCCUAUCUAUUUACGUUUCUGUUGAGUCAUCCUCUUCUUAUUAAAAAGCACCAUUAGAGAGCACCUCCGUCAUUUUUAUGCUUUGCUAUUAAUUGAUAUUGAGUAUGACUGCGACUGGAUCUUCUUUGCAAUGAAUUACAAUGUUCAGUCAGCCCUUGGUCUUUGAAGGUGCUCUGCAUUUAUGUUUUGCAGUCUCAGAAAGGGCUAGCGAGACACCAUCUGUUCAUAUUGUAUUAUGAUUGUUUUGAAUGAAGUGUUGAUGUUUGAAACUUAUUAUUAUUGCUCGCUAGUUGAUUAUGCCAUUGAUAUGAGUACAUCAUGAGACCUAAAUGUUAUUGCUUAUGUGGUUAGCUUAUGAUGUUGCUGAAAAUCCGAAUAUGAGUUAGACAUAAUUACUACAACAAGGUCAAACAGAGUUCGUAAAAGUUGUUCUUUUGUCUCUUUCAGUUUGUCAACUGAAUUGCUUGAGGACAAACAAGGCUUUAAGCUUGGGGGAGUUGAUACGUCUCCAUCGUAUCUACUUUUCCAAACUCUUUUGCCCUUGUUUUGGACUCUAAUUUGCAUGAUUUGAAUGAAACUAACCCGGACUAACGCUGUUUUCAGCAGAACUGCCUAGGUGUUGUUUUUGUGCAGAAAUAAAAGUUCUCGGAAUGACCUGGAAACUUACAAGGAUUUUUUGUGGAAUAUAUAAAAAAUACUGACGCAAGAAUUACCUGAAGACACGGAGCCAGGGGCCCACAAGCCCAGGAGGCGUGCCCCCCCCCUAGGGCGCGCCUGACAGGCUUGUGGGGCCCACAUAUCUCCGCAGCCUCCAACUCCAAGUCUAUAAAGUCUCUCUUGCCCAGGAAAAAUUAAGAGAGAAGAGUUCAUCGUGUUUCACAACACGGAGCCGCCGCCACCACCUGUUCUUUCUCGGGAGGGAAGAUCUGGAGUCCGUUCUGGGCUCCAAAGAGGGGAAAUCGACGUCGUCGUCAUCACCAAUUCCAUGAUGCUCUUCACCGUUCGUGAGUAAUCUCAUCGUAGGCUUGCUGGACGGUGAUGGGUUGGAUGAGAUCUAUCAUGUAAUCGAGUUAGUUUUGAUGGGGUUUGAUCCCUAGUAUCCACUAUGUUCUAAGAUUGAUGUUGCUACUACUUUGCUAUGCUUAAUGCUUGUCACUAGGGCCCGAGUGCCAUGAUUUCAGAUCUAAACCUAUUAUGUUUUCAUCAAUAUAUGUGUGUUCUUGAUCCUAUCUUGCAAGUUGUAGUCACCUACUAUGUGUUAUGACCCGGCAACCCCGGAGUGACAAUAGCCGGAACCACUCCCGGAGAUGACCAUAGUAUGAGGAGUUCAUGUAUUCACUAUGUGCUAAUGCUUUGUUCCGGUUCUCUAUUAAAAGGAGACCUUAAUAUCCCUUAGUUUCCAUUAGGACCCCGCUGCCACGGGAGGGAUGGACAAAAGAUGUCAUGCAAGUUCUUUUCCAUAAGCACGUAUGACUAAAUACGGAAUACAUGCCUACAUUACAUUGACGAACUGGAGCUAGUUACAUAUCACCCUAUGUUAUAACUGUUACAUGAUGAAUGUCAUCCGAAGUAAUUAUCCAUCACCGAUCCAAUGCCUACGAGCUUUUCCUAUACCGGUCCUUGCUAAGUUACUUUACCGCUACUGCUGUCACUACUGCUACUGUUACUGCUGCUACAGUUACUAUCACACUACUUUGCUACAUAUACUAAGUCUUUCAGGUGUGGUUGAAUUGACAACUCAACUGCUAAUACUCGAGAAUAUUCUUUGGCUCUCCUUGUGUCGAAUCAAUAAAUUUGGGUUGAAUACUGUAUCCUCGAAAACUGUUUCGAUCCCCUAUACUUGUGGGUUAUCAAGAAUACCCGCCCUGAGUCAUGCUCUUGUGGUUAGGAUUCUACUCCUCUAAGUGAUGCUUUUGCAUGCCUUUCCUUCCUCACGCACCUACAAACUAUUCGCUAUUUCCUUCCGCGAUAAUGUGAGCAGUUUUGAAAUUUCUGUAAAGUGGACCCAAUGUGUGAGAUGAUGACAACUGGGACCCAUCUGAUUGGUGGGACAACUCCAAAAUAUAAUGGCCCAAACAAUGUUAAAAGGCCAUGACCUAGAAAUAAAUAAAGGCUGAAUUGUAGGGUUUGGCCUAUGUAGCUAACCCAAAUUGGCAAGAAAAAAAUAUGAAUGGGUUGAAUUGUUAGGCUCGGCUCAUGUAAAGUAGUGAAAUGGACCGAGCUGAUUCUUAUCAACGACCAAUUCUAUUGGUUGCAAUUUUGCCGCGAUUUUGCUACAUCAGCUUGCCACGUUGGAUCCGAUGUGGCCUGGGCAGACAACUAGUGGCCAAAACAAAAGGUCAUAGGACCAACGACCUUUUGUUUUGGUCGUUGCUUUCUACGACCAUAUCACAAAGAAGGUCGUUAAGUUUCAUUAAAGAUGGUUAGUUUUUGACCAACUGUUUUUUAGCAUAAAAAGAUCGCAAAUGAAAAACAAUGUUCAUUCAGCGACCAAUAGUGAUGGUCGCAAGUUGACAUAUUUCUUGUAGUGUGUAGCAGAGAUAUCAGACACACAACCUCUGCAACAUCGAAAUGUCCUAAAGACAUUAAGAAUGCACACAACCCAAAAAGAAAAGGAAAACAAGAUUUUUUUUUGCUACAAGAUGAAUUCCUUGUAACUAGCGAUAUGAUCCACAAGCUAAGACAAGUCGUAGCUGUGAGGAAACAAAGUGGAACAAUAUGUGAAGGUCGCAUGGACUUUUCCGCAAAAAAAAAAAGUCGCAUGGACUAAUCAAGGACAGAACAAUUAAUGGGUGGCCACGCUGCUUGUUAAGUGUAAACUAAUGUCUAUGUUUGUAUACGCCUAGCACCAAAUUAACAACCCCGCACUAGACAGUGACAUGUUAUCUCCAUUAUAUUUGUAUACAUUGCUUGAUUGGUUCCAUACAUGCAUCUUGAGAAAAGAAGAAUGCUUUUGUUAAUAAUAUGGUCGGAGAUAAUGAAUAAUCAAGCUGUGAUAUCCAAUGCAAGUUGGAUAUACUUAAGGGACGGGUCUAGAAUUGUUAGAGUUUAAUUAGUUAAUGUAAUUAGUUAACUUAAUCUUUACUUGUAACUGCACGUGGGCAUCUCCACGACCGAACCAACACUUCGUUCGUGGAGCGACGCCUCCACGAACCGCCUCCUCGUACCGUCGCUUUUUUUGGAAGCGACUGUUCCCCAUGUAUAUAUAUGUUCAUUCAUCAAUGAGAAACAGAGUUUGAUUACAUUUCUUCACACGUUAUCAGCACGUAGCCUACCGACAGAGCACCGGAGACGAAGAGAAAAGGUGAGAUGGCAGGGAUGAACCUGCACAGAAUCACCUCCGCCCUCGUUCGUUUCUUUAGAAGAGAAAUCCAUCGAUCUGCAAGAAGCCAGGGUCUUGGAGUUCAUCGCCAUUGGGGCUCUGGCAACGGCCGCCGUGGCUGCUGUGGUCGUCGUGGGCGUCGUGGUCACCACGACCACCAUGGAUCUGCAGCAGCAGGACCAAGCCACCCACCCAUGGCCGUCCACCAUGCCUACCAGGCACCUCCAAUGUCGGACUUCGUCGCCCCGCCGGCCUUUGUCGCUCCAGUCAUGGAUUGGCAACUGGAAUACACAGGGGGGAUCUUCUGUCCUGUGCAUAGAUACGGGCCAUGCCCUUCAAACCCGGCCAAUCCACCACUGGAAUCAGAGAUCGACGGAGGGGACACUUACCCGGAUCUCCCAACACCGACGCCUGCCGACGAAGAUCCCCUUGCCGCCUCCAGGCUAUGGCCCUGUUCCGGCCAUGGCCAAGUGGGAGGUGAUCCUGACGGAGAUGGCCGAAGCCAGCGCCCCAUCGGAGGCGGCCGAAGCCUGCGGUCCAUCGGAGGCGACCGAAGCCAGCGCUCCAUCGGAGGCGGUCGAAGCCAACGCACCGACGGAGGCGACCGGAUCCGGCGCCACCAUCCCCGCAUCUCCGCCGCCUUCGCCCCAAGCCCGCCCUCGGACGCCACCAGCGGCGGCUCGCCGGAUCCUUUGCCGAUUUGCUGCAGCACUAGAGCAGCACCGCCCCGGCCUCCGCUCCGCUCCUGGGCUCACGCCGGCAUCCACCUCCCUGGCUACGACGCGGCAGCCGUAGCCCCGUCCUCUCCCUGAGCGCUGCCGACGAGGGGCGCCAUCGGCGGCGGAUGUUGCGGGACGUCGUGGAGGUGGCUGUGGAACGGGGGAAUUCAAGGCGAUAUUUGUGGUCCUAUCCAACCAUUAUCUGGACCUUUUAGGUAUUUCAUGGUUCUAAUUGACGCAUCUACACGAUGGUCUCACGUGUGUCUAUUAUCCACACGAAACCAUGCAUUUUCCAAAAUAAUGAGACAAGUAAUUAAAUUACAAGCUCAUUAUCCUGAAAAUCGGAUUAAGUCAAUUCGAAUGGACAACGCUGCUAAAUUUUCCUCACGUGCCUUCAAUGAUUAUUGCAUGGCCCUAGGAAUCGAAGUUCAGCACUCGGUCCCAUAUGUCCAGACACAAAAUGGAUUGGAAGAGUCCCUAAUUAAGAGAAUUAAGCUCAUUGCACGGCCCUUGCUAAUGAAUUGCAACUUACCAACUUCAUGUUGGGGUCACGCAGUUUUACACGCUGCUGACUUAAUUCAAUUGCGACCAACUGCAUAUCACAACACUUCCCCUCUGCAAUUAGUACGUGGAAACCUACCAAAUAUUUUCCAUCUGCGUAAAUUCGGAUGCGCCACAUAUGUGCCCAUCUCACCACCGCAGCGUACAUCCAUGGGCCCACAUUGGAAAUUGGGGAUCUAUGUGGGGUGCAAAUCACCGUCGAUAAUCAAGUACCUUGAACCCCUCACUGGGGAUCUAUUCCCAGCCCGUCACGCUGACUGCAUCUUUAAUGAGGAAUAUUUCCCGGCAUUAGGGGGAGACAUCAAGUACCAAAAGAAUGCCCGGAAAUCUAUUGGAAUGCCCAAGACAUUUCCUCCUCUGAUCCACGUACUCAAGAAACUGAACUUCAAGUUCGGAAAAUAAUUAAUUUGCAACAUAUUGCAAAUAACCUGCCAGAUUCAUUUACUGACUAUAAAGGUGUUACAAAAUCCUACAAUCCUGCCAGAAAUGCGCCCGAAAGAGUGGAGGUACCAACAAAAACCACUCAACCCCCUGUUCAAAGGAAGAGGGGGAGAAAUAGGGGGAGAAAUACGGCCACAGAACAGGAUUCAACUUCUCGCAAACAAAAAAGGAAACAGAGGAAGAAACCCCGUGAACCAGUAAAUGUAAAUCAACCUAGCGUUGAUAAUCAUCAAAUGGGUAAUGAACACCCAGUGGAAGAACGGCCUCCACAACCCAGCUCAGUUGUGCACUCAAUGACUAGGACAUCGGAAAACCCUGACUCAAUCGUAUUGGGAAAUCACGACCAGUCAACAUGGGUAAAUGAAAUUUCCACCAACUAUAUGGAUUCUGGAGAAUGUUACAAUCGUAAGUCUACUAUUGUCGACAUAUAUUUCUCAACUACAGUUGCAGACUACCUUCUAAAUGAUCAUGAUCCAAAGACCAUGGCAGAGUGCAAGAAACGCUCCGACUGGCCUAAAUGGAAGGAUGCAAUCCAGGUAGAGUUAGCCUCGCUCAAUAAACGAAAGGUAUUCACUGAAGCAAUACCUACACCUCCCAGAGUUUUCCCUGUGGGAUUCAAAUGGGUUUUCGUCCGUAAAAGAAACGAGAACAACGAGAUGGUGAGAUAUAAAGCAAGGCUUGUAGCCCAAGGUUUCACGCAGAGACCAGGCAUUGAUUGCAAUGAAACAUACUCUCCAGUAAUGAGUGGUAUUACUUUCCGAUACCUUAUUUCUAUGGCAGUACAAAAUCGUCUACCUAUGCAGUUGAUGGACGUAGUGACCGCCUAUCUUUACGGUUCACUUGAUUCGUACAUAUGCAUGAAGGUUCCUGAUGGAGUUCCAAUCCCGAAUCCAAACGCAACGCAUAUUGUGUAAAACUAAACAAGUCUUUAUACGGCUUAAAACAGUGGGGUCGCAUGUGGUACAACCGACUUAGUGAGUUCUUUUUGAAAAAAGAUACUCCAAUAAUGAUGAUUGCCCAUGUGUUUUCAUAAAAAAGUCCGCAACCGGAUUUUGCAUUAUUUCAGUGUAUGUUGAUCAUCUUAACAUCAUUGGAACCACCGAAGAUAUUGAUGAAGCACGCAAUAUCUUAAAGACGGAAUUUGAAAUGAAGGAUUUGGGUAAAACUAAAUUUUGCUUAGGAUUACAACUUGAGCACCUUCCCUCGUGUAUUUUGGUUCAUCAAACCGCCUAUAUCCAGAAAAUAUUGGAGAAAUUCAAUAUGGACAAAUACUAUCCAUCCAAAAUCCCUAUGGUAGUUCGAUCUCUAGACAUAGAGAAAGAUCAGUUUAGACCAAUGGAUGAUGGAGAAAAGAUAUUAGGACCUGAAGUCCCAUAUCUUAGUGUGGUUGGAGCGCUCAUGUAUCUUACAAACUGCACCAGACCUGACAUUGCAUUUGCAGUAAAUUUAUUAGCUAGACAUAGCGCAGCUCCCACUAAACGCCAUUGGAUCGGAGUUAAGAAUAUCUUUCGAUAUCUCCAAGGUACAAAGGAUCUUGGCCUCUUCUUUCAAUUUCAAAGAAAUUUGGACAUUGAUUUGAUUGGGUAUACAGAUGCUGGCUACUUAUCUGACCCCCAUAAUGCCAGAUCACAAACCGGUUUCGUGUUCCUACAUUGUGGGACAGUCAUAUCAUGGAAAUCUUCCAAGCACACCCUAGUGGCUACAUCCACCAAUCGUUCUGAAAUAAUCGCAUUAUAUGAAGCAUCACGUGAAUGUGUAUGGCUUCGCAGAAUGAUAAACCACAUACAAAAAUCAUGUGGCAAAGGUCUUAUCAAAUCUCCAACCAUUAUCUAGGAAGAUAAUGCUCCUUGUGUUGCUCAAAUGCAAACGGGUUAGAUAAAGAGCAAUAUCACUAAGCAUAUUUCUCCUAAAUUAUUUUUUCCCCAUCAAUUACAGAAGAAAGGGAAAAUAAAUAUUUUGCAAGUUAAAUCGUGCGAUAAUCUCACUGACCUAUUUACAAAAUCACUCCCAGCUUCAACAUUUGAAAAAUAUGUUCAUGGGAUAGGUAUGCGAAGACUUCGGGAUUUGCAAAGAUCAGGGGGAGUUUCUCUCUCUGAAAAAUAACCCGUUCAAACAUUAUAUUGCACUCUUUUCCCUUUAUGAGUGUACUUCCAUAGUUCUCAUCAAGGUUUUUAAUGAGACAAUAUCAACAUAAGACAUAUGUCAUACUGUCCGUUUUUCCCCACCGGGUUUUUUAGGAAAAGUAUAUACGACGUAUUUUUGUCCUCUAAUUUUAUGGAUACAUUUCAUAUAGAAUUGACAGAGGCAAUAAUCAUUAUAUGUUGUAUCAUUUUCUCCUUAUUUUUCCACAAGGUUUGAAGGAGUUUUAGCAGCAUAUACUAUACUACUUCUCAUAUUUUUCUCACGGGGUUUUUGGAGGAGACUAUUUUAAGAUGAUGAACAUACAUUUUAAGAUGAUGAACAUACGAUGAAUACUUGCUGUUUUCCCUGCAAUGAAACUGUAUGUACGACCGUGGAAUUCUAGUCCAGUCAUUUCAAUGUCAUUUACGGUGAAACUGAGGAGCAUAACGUACGGGGACACAUGCUAGCUGCAAACACGCGCACUCCGGCCGCCGCCAGUCAUUUGCAACACUGUGCGUUGUGUCAAGCUACGGAUUUCCGGUGGUGGCUGUCGACCGAGAUCGAACGUUUCUUCCGGCGACCUCUAUCUUUUGCUGUGGUAAUUUCUUUUGUCGUCGCUAGAGGACGUGGAUGAUAUUGUUGCAACGCACGGCAAUUCUUUGGUUUUGUUUAUUUAUUUAUAAAUAAUCUAACUGCUGCGGUCACGAUGGAUUUUCUAGGUAGCAUACCUCUUGUAUCUACUCCACGUCUUCACUUCAACUUUAUGCGUGGCUAGCUAGGGCAGUUGCCGACAGUUUGGACAAAAGAUCAGAUCAGUGGCCGAAUCGGGUAAGGUUGUCGGUUCAAGGUUUCAUCGGUCGGUUCACAGUCUGUUUUUUUUUUUWAUAAAAUAUCUUUUGUAUACUGAUGUAAUAUAUUUACCUUUUUCUUAACACAACACAGUCACAUACACUCAUAGAUACGCAAAUAUACUUACCCCUAUGACUGGGAGCUAUGACAUGUUUUCCUUGGGGUUUGUGAUCUCGAACGGACCACUAUUUGUACACGUCGACUUGGUUCGACAUCUCCGGUUUUACCUCCCAAUUCUUUAUCUUUAUCUUUAUCUUUACCUACUAAUAAAGCAAUUAGUGCUUCUGUUGUCCGUCUUUAACAUUGCCCAUAAAGUUGAUGAAAAUUAUCCACAAUUGCCACUUAUAAGUCAUUGAAAACAUUUCAAACAAGAAAAUCUUUGGACUGGGCCGGCCCAUGUAGGCACCUCCUAUAUUACGCUCUGGGCAUUGCAAAAAGAUGCAGCACACCUAUUUGGGCCGGUCCAUGCGUGGCCGCCUGUUAUUUUAGUUUUUUUUACUUUUCAGUUCUAUUUUUUUCUACUUUAAAUAAUUUAGAAGUUCAAAUAACUUUUUCUUAAAUUUAAGAAACUGAGAAUUUUGAAAUAAAAUAUUAAAAAACAUAUUUUUUUGAGAAUUCAAAAACUACUCAGGAGUUUUGAAAAAUGUUUGCAUAUACAAAGAAAUGUUUAAAUUUUUAAAAAAUGUCUGUAAAAUGAAAAAAGUCAAUAAUUUCAAACAAAAGUCCGUGUAAAAAUCUUAAAAACAGUUUGUGCCUCUGUUUUUAGUCUCAUUUUUAAUUUUCAUUUUCUGUUCCAUUUUUUAAAUUUAAAUAAUAUCGACUUUUGAAAUUUUUUUGCAACUUAUAAAACUUAGAAUUUUGAAAUAUAAUUUUGAAGAAAAUAUAAAAUGUUUGUGAAUUCAAAAAAUGCUCGGGAUAUUUGUAAAAGUAUUCCCAUAUUCAGAAAAAUGUUCAUAAUUUUGAGAACAAUGUUGGUGAAAACAAUAAAAGUCCAUGAUUUUGAGAAAAACGUUUGUGUAUUAUUUUUUGAGUGCAAUUGAAAAAAAUAUUUGCUAAUUCAAAAAAUGUUCAUGCAUUUCAAGAAAUGUCCUAAAAUUUUAAGGACGUAAUAUGAUCAACAUCCUUGAAGAUUAUAAUUAUUUUUCUUCCGUUGCAUCGCACGGGACCUUUUGCUAGUUGCAUAAAAAGUUCAAAACCUUUCGAUUCAACCGGUCCACUUUGGUUUAACAGGUGGAACGUCCAGAGAGUUUAAGAAACCGGCAUUGUCCCUGGUUCCAGCUUUCAGUUUCACCAGCGGUCCCGUCCCGUGCUGAUAAAUAUGCUGGCCGAUUAAUUUCGAUAUAUGCCUCUUUUAUUCUUUUAUCUAUCAGCAUAUCAACAUUUGUGUGCAUGUUGAGUCGUUGACUUGCCACCUCGAUCCAUCUUAUAUUCAUUUAUUUGUUCGAGUUGUGCAUUCUAUCUUUGCAGGUGCAAGAGAUAAUAAUUCAGUAUAACCUAGACACUUUCCUCCAUCUAUGGAUUCUCUACUUGAACAUUACCAUCAUAUACCAUCCAGAUGAUACUAGCUGGAUUACUGGGUUGGAUUACAUCUUCGAGUUGGCACCUCUCUUAGAAGAUUUGGAACUACAUGUAAGUUCUUCACUCGCCGAUCAUGGUACUUGCAUCUGUUUGUAUACAAAUAUGUAUUUGGUAUUAAUGAAUGGUUGGAUAUACUUGUGCAAAUAAAUUGUGGUAGAUUUGGCCUUCCUACAAGGAGUGACAACUCUUCCAAGGCCUCGGCGUCAUCAUCUCAGUAGCGCCCGCAUUAUUGAUUUUGUGAUCUGGUGGGGAUAGUCGAGCUUGAUGUCCUCCAGAUCCAGGCACGACGCGCCACAUAGAAGCCUCGUGAUAUCCCCCGGUGGGCGUCACCGACAGAGACAAUUGUGCAAUGAAGACCCCGGCAGCCUUUGUUGUCGCCCUAUAACUGUAGCUGGGUUUUUGCAACUAGGGCGGUCGCGUGGCUCUGCUCAAGCUGCCCACUAGUCCCCUGUUUCGACAUGAUCCAGAAGACAAGUCGCGGAGACUAAACAAGGUUGAACAACAUGUGCCUCUUGCAGUUUAACUAAUGAUGCUUCUUAAAUAAUGCCUUGUCACUUGCUAGAUUUUUCCUCCAAGUUUCUAUAUGCACCGUACCUUGCAUGUCUCUCAGAGAGGAUGGUGUACUGUUGAUGUAUGUACCACUUCUUUUUGCAGGGAAUGUAUAUAUCAUGUACGUACCACUUGCAUGAGCCGCUGAAUGUUCCUAGGUAGUCUUAACGUAUGUUCGUACGCUAACCAUUAGGCUACACUGGAGCGAGUAGUAGUCAACAAGUCAUGGAUGAUGGGAUGCGUGCGUUCAUGCUCUAAAAAGUCAAAGGCUAGCUCUUUUUCUUAAAUUUGUUGCAAUGGUUUUUAGUUGUUGUGGCUAGAAGACGUGGAUGCUAUUGUUGCAAGGCACGACAAUUCCUUGUUUUUAUUUAUUUACAUUUAAAAAUAUGUUGCAGUCGCGACAUAUUUUCUAGGCAGGACGGCAUCUCAUCCCCUUCAUCUUAUCAGUUAACUCGCUAUGCUGUUUAGAUUUCUACACCAUCUCAACUUUGCACAUUUGGUUCGACCUCUUUGGCCGCUAUUGGCCCCUUACGUCAAAUGGUUUCGGCUUUUCUGAUGAAAUGUUUUAAUCACCGAAUAAAGCAACAGAACACGUACUUAAUUUGUACUAAAACCCGAUGAGAUGCAGCCGCGCAGGUAAGGAAGCCCAUCUAUGGGCCCAUCCAGUUUGCCGUACAUAACAACACAAGCCCGUGAAUAUUUGAUUGUCGCAUAGAGAAAAUGUAUUUAAGAAUUCACUAACUGCAACCUUGAAACAUUAAAUAGAAGAAUGACAGAGUGUAGACGUGCACUACCUUUUGGUCAGGGGCAGAGCUAGGAUUUGAACAUAGGUGGGGCGAAGAGGACAAUGCACGUGCAGGAAAUUCAGGACCAAAUAUAUUGAUUCUGAAAUAUAGUGUUAAUAUCAAACAAACAAUGUUAUUUUUUCCUGCAAUAACAUUGAAAUAGCUAGGUUUUUUAUUAGCUUAGAUAUAUAUCUACACACAUCAGGCCCAUCAAACGUCAAGGUUUGUAGAGAUUUCACUCCCAAAAUAUAUACUCCCUCUGUACCUAAAUAAUUGUAGUAGGGAAGAACUAGUCAAGUUUUCCCCAAUUACAAUUAUUUAGAUACAGAGGGAGUACAUGUCACUCUGCAAUGUGCAAUCUCAUCAGUAGACUGGGUGGUUAAAAUAAAUGGUUUCAAUUGUUAGUUAUUGGUGGUCUCUUCUUCCUCAUGCUUUAUGCAAUUCUAGACUUCUAGUUAGUACACAAAUAUCAUUUUUAAUUGAAUCUAACUGGUACAACCUCUGUCCCAAAUUACGUGUCUUAAAUUUAUCAAGAUAUGAAUGUGUUGUAUGUAAACAAACCUAAGACAAGUAACCUUUGGAUCCGCACUGCUUCUGGUACUACCUCAUGUUGGUUUAACAGUGUGCCUCCUCACGCCAUCCAUGAUCAGCGUGUUAGUUAAGCUGUCUUUCCACUCUCUGCCAUAUCUCUUAUACCACUAUCAUGAUGGGCUUGCCUGCAUUUAUACAUAUACUUCUUUUUUUGCACCGUUACAUAUACUUUUUUCGUCACGGGUUAGAAGGCGUGCUUGGAAAUUCUCUGGAACCUAGGCGUUGUUGAUUGAAUGCGAGAUGGGUUGAAAAAUAGAAUUCACACUACGCAUGCAUACAGAACUAGUACAAUGGAGUACUAAUUGGCUGCUAAAAGUAAAUGCAAUGUGUCCACAACUUUGUUUAGUGUGAAAAUGCACGUAAAUUUAACCAUGCGUUCUAAACCGCGACUGAGGGAGUACUUGAUAUGGCAAGUUCUUUUUUAGCAUUUGUGGGCAUAUGUUGGCUUUAUUGACCAUUAAUGGGGUGAUAGUGACAAGGUAGCAUUUCUAGUAUUAUAGGUGAUCCAAAUUUAACGGUGUAUAAUGACCACACUAUUAUCCAAAUGGGAACAACCUCCCAUUAAUGGUAGGAGAAUCAGUCACCCAUUUUUGUACAACCUCCCACUAAUGUGUCUGUGAUUUGUUUGCAAACAUUUAUUUUUUACUCUCACUGCGAAAUGCCCCUAUGAGGAAGAACAACAUAAAAAUAGGUCUCGUGCCUGUGAGUUUUUGCAAAGUUUUUUACUCUCCCUGUCAAGUGGCCCUACAAGUAAGAACAAUAGUAAAAAAUGGAUCGUGUACCUGUGAUUUUUUACAAAGUUUUUUACUCUCACUGCCGAGCGGCCCUAUUAAGAAAAGCAAGACAAAAAUUAGGCAGCAGCUUCAAGGGGUUGAACCAGGUUCCAACUCACCAUCGUACCAUCGCAUACUUCCAAUUUUUCACAGGUUACAAAUGAAGUUAUUCCAUUCCUAAUAAAAUUUGAAAUAAAAAUGAGUUUUUGUUCGGUACACCGUACCCCCGCCCCCUCCCUCACAACCUACCUUGAAAAAAGCCAAGGCACGCGUUGGUUUGAAGUUUUCGUAGCAAUCUAGAGGAUCUGUGUGAUAUUUCAGCUGCAACGGACUGCAGUUCUUUGUCGAUUUUUCUGCAAAUGAUUUACCUAUUGUGGCCGCUAUAGAUUUUCUAGGUAGCAUGUCUUCUCAUCCCAUCCCGGGCCUCGCUCUCGAGGCCAUCGGGGAUCAGUUUGUGUGUUCGUCCGAUUUCUUCUAAGAUCGAUCUGCAACGUCCGUCGGUACCGCUGGAGCUGCACUUCCACUCUAGUGUGGCACGCCAAUAUUUUUUAUCAUAUCUACACGCCGUUGCUUAUACUUUAAAUGGUAUGUUUUGGGAGCAUUCGUUUGUAGCCUUAUGCAACAUAGACUAUCAUGCAAUGACAGGAUGACAGUGACUGAGGUAGAAUUUCUGGAACCGUACCCAAUGACAGAUUUUAAGAUGGAUGGUGAUCACACUGUUAUCCAGAUGGAAAAACCUCCAAUGGUAGGAAUCAUAUACUUGGGCAUGUUGUCCUGAUUUUUCUUUUUGAAAUUGAGACAAAAUAUUUGCCUCAUCUCACUAAUAAAAGAGAGGGUUGAAUUACAUAGCUGGCUGUCCAAGGACGGCUCUCCAAUUUUGUUUUUUAUUCUUACGACAUUACAGAACUAACAUCCUCAGAGCAACUCUAGCACACCCCGCAUCCAUCCCCGACCCGUAAAAUAACCGCCAAAAUGCGGGUACGGGCCGGAAAGCCUGCCCGACCAGACCACGCAUCCCGCCCCGGUCCGCAAAUUUUUUUUGGGGGCGCGGCAAAUUCCCGACCCCAACCCGGAAAAACGCGGGUUUCCGCCUCGCUGCUGCGGUGCCCUGCAUCACAGAGAAGCAGUUGGCGGGAGGGACAUUUCAGGCCGCGCUCUUUGCCCCCUCCUUCCGCCGCCGCCCGCCCUUGCUUACGCCCGCCCGCCGCCGGCGAUUCCGGCAAUAUCUGCAGGCGAGCCGCUGCACCGCCCCUCCGGAUCCGGUGAGAAGACSCCCCCCCCCCCGCCGCUGUCGCCGCCGGGGUAUCGACCACCAUCGAGCGCACCCCCUCGUCGCCGCCCGGGUCAUCCGCAACCGGUUAGUCCUUUAUUUUUAUUUUUGUGAGCUGUGCGAGAAGUUCUUACUAUCCGAUUCGUCCGAUUCGGACGACUCGGAUGUUGAGACCAUGCUUGCGAACUUUCGGCAGCAAACAUUAGUCAUGGCGCUUGCCGUGAAGGAGCAUGAAGACGAGCACCGGAAGAGGAGGCGAGGAUUGACUGUCGGGCGUUUGUGCAUUUCUCGAAAUCGCCAUCUUGGAAACGAGAUGUUGAUGCAAGACUAUUUCACGAAGAAUCCUACAUAUCCUCCGCACCUCUUUCGGAGAAGGGAUCGAAUGCGCCGAUCCCUCUUUGUGAAACUUGUUCAAGCUUGCGAGUCAAAUUGCCGGUAUCCAUUUGUAUUUGUAUUCAUGACAAGUUUUGUAUUGCACUAUUUAAGUUUGCUAUGGUUAUUUGAAUAAUUAUUUGUAAUGCGGAUGAUUAUUGUAUUAUGUUUGAUUCGAAUAAUUAAGUUUGUUUUCGAUUGUUGAAUUAUGUUGUAUUUGAUAUUUGUGGGCUGAUGAUAUGCGGGAUGCAGCGGUGCAAAGAGCAGACCCCGCAAAGCCGACCAGUAAAAAAGUAUAUUCCGCGAAUAUAUAUUUUGACGGAUCCGUUUGGAGGGUCUGCAUGUGUGCCAGCCCGGGCCAGCCCGCAAAAGCUGUUUUACACGAACUGCAAACGCGUUUUGCAAGCAAGUAGUACUUGUUGUGGAACACGUCCGGCGUUCCACCACUCCUUAAUAGUGCCAAUUUUCUGGCCCCCUCUUGCAAAGUUCACUAGUGGAAAACGGACCUUUGGCCGGGACCCUUUAGUCCCGGCCUGCCUCUAGGCCAGGAUUAAAGGCCCGGCCACGUCACCCCAGUUCUCAAUGCCUCCCUCGAGGCUUUAGUCCCGGUCCGUAAGGAGCCUUUAGUCCCGGUUCGUGUCCCAAACCGGGACUAAAGGGCUACGCGGCGGGCAGUGGUGGUGGCAACCGUUCGUAUCCCCCUUUAGUCCCGGUUGGUGGCUCAACCUGGGACUAAAGGCCUAACACGUGGCAUGUCGUAGUGGUGGCAACCGUUGGUAUACCUCUUUAGUCCCGGUUGGUGGCUCAACCCGGGACUAAAGGCCCAAACGGUUUGCAUCCCGCGUCGUUUCGGGCAAUGAAAAGCACGAACCGAAGCACAGUCGCCAUUUCUCUGUUUCUUCUUCUCUCUCGCUCUCCCUCUCUGUUCUUCUCCUCUCUUCUUCCCUUCUCUUCUUCCACCAUGCCAACUCGCUUUCAAAAGGUGCUCGCACAUCGCACGACCAUGCUCGAUGUCGUGUACACGAACGAGAGCAGGGAGGUGCCAUUUUUUCUUGAAUAGUUGAAGGAAAAAUGUCUUGACGCCGCAAUGGAUCAUGAGAAGUUUUUGGGGCUUGAUCUGGAGUACACGGCCGAUCAACACGGUGUUGCCGUCAUCCAACUAUGCUUCGCACGCCAUGUCUUGAUCUUCCAAUGGGCGAGGUAAGUUUUGAGGCUUUCUUUGAUCCAAGAUAAUGACAUUGUAAGUUUAUUUGUUUCAAUCAUAGUUGGUUCCCUUCAAAUAGUUGUAGUGAAACAAUUUUGAUUAGUUGAAGGGGAACACAAUCUAAUUGGUAAUAGURGUUCCAUAAUCUGAAAAUCGUAUUAGAAUCAACUAGUGUUUAAUAUGUUUCAUUGGAAUCAUAGUUGGUUCGCUUCAAAUAGUUGUAGUGAAACAAUUUUGAUUAGUUGAAGGGGAACACAGUCUGAUUGGAAUAGUGUUCCAUAAUCUGAAAAAUCGUAUUAGAAUCAACUAGUGUUUAAUAUGUUCCAUUGGAAUCAUAGUUGGUUCGCUUCAAAUAGUUGUAGUGAAACAAUUUUGAUUAGUUGAAGGGAACACAAUCUGAUUGGAAUAGUGUUCCACAAUCUGAAAAAUAUGAUUGGUUCAAUAUGUUCCAUUGAAAUCAUAGUUGUAGUGAUACAAUUUUAUGCGGUGUUCUUUGAUCCAAGGUUAUGAAAAUUGCAUAUAGCUAGUGAUCUCUCUAGGUUCCAUUGGAUAGCAAUAUGAUAUGUCAUAGUCAUGAAAAUUGCAUAUAGCUAGUGAUCUCUCUAGGUUCCAUUGGAUAGCUAUAGUGAUCUCUGUAGGUUCCAUUGCAUAUGUUCUAUUUGAAUCCUAAAGAUAAUUUUCUCUUCAGUUGUAGUGAAACAUGUUUCCUUAUUGCAGCAGUAUGUAACAUUUGUUCCAUUUUAAUUUGUUUCUGUUGCAGUAGUGACAAGCAUUGUCCAGAACUCAUGGACUUCCUUCGCAGCGGCAUCACUUUUGCUACCGCUGACAUAAGGAACGACAAGCUGAAGAUGAGGUACAACUUCGGUAUUGCAGAAGGAAAACGCCAGGAUAGCAAAGGAACAUCAUGAUGCGCAGAUGAAAAAGAAGGAACCCGAGCCCCGCCCGGAAUACACCGAGAAGCAAAUAGCAUGGGCAAAAGACUUCAUAACCCUUCCAUCACAAUAUGACUUACACUAUAAGCCUGAUGACUAUACACGCACAUUGCAGAAGGAAGUGAAAAAGAGCAGUUCAUGUGCAAGUGCAAGUGGGAGCAAAUCAAGUUCAACUACAAGCAAGAAAAAAUCAGACGUUCCUCAGCUUGGACAACAGGCCAAACAGUCGAUCCCACCCCUCAAGGUGUUAACCGAGAAUGUUCCCCCUCCGAUGCAGGGGCAAGCUUUUGAAAGAGCAAAGGAGUUGGCGGCUGAAUGUGGUAUCUCGGUUGAAGAUUUGCCGGCUUCCCAAGACGACAGGAUACCCAAGGCUGUGGUAGCCCCUAAGCCACAGUUUGUCAUGGGAGAGCCUUUGGUCAGCAAAGAUGAUCUCCCAACAAAUAUGCGUUACUUGCAUCAAUGGUACUUAAGUGAAUCAAAGAAUGGGAGAAUGAUGAUCGUGCUGAGUGUCCCACGGGAGUACUACGGCGGCUCCGAAGAAAUCCAUAUCGACUUUGAUGAACUCUUCCAGAUGUACAAUGGCGACGCCCUCGAUAAAUCGCUUAUGAGUUGCUAUUGUCUGUAUGUUUUUCAAUUCGUUGUCUACAUAUAACUUGUUUAGUUAUUUCAAUUCAUUGUCUAUAUAUAACUUGUACUCUAUUAUGCAGAAUGAAGAUUCUGGAUUGUAAAAGUAAGACCAUCCUAAAUAUUGGGUUUAUUGACCCAGAUAAAAUACAUAUAGCGACGCUAACUGAUAAACCCAAGGAGGCAGAGGAAAACCUUCUAAGGUUUCUAAUAAAUCAAAAUUUCUGUGACCACAUACUGUUUCCAUACAACUUCAGGUGAGGGUCUUUACUCUGUUGUGUCCAUUCACUUAUAAGUGUAAUUGAUAAGUUACUGACAUAUACACACACACACACACACACACACACACACACACACACACACACAUGUGCAGCUUUCAUUGGAUUCUGUUGGCCAUUCAAAUUGAUAAGGGAAGAGUUGAUGUCUUCGACCCAUUAUCGAGACCCUUGGAACAGUUCCAAAGCCUGCAGGACAUGCUCCAAGGGUAAUUUUAAUCAAUCUUGCGCUCUAUCGGUCUCUUUCAAUGAUUUUCUGAUAUAUCAAUUAAUGAAAAACUUAGCAAAUCAUUAUCCUUGUCAGGCAGGGUUUGGAAGCGGUUCAAGUGCGUGACUCCCGGUAACUUUCCUGAGAAGCUGACCUUUAGAGCGGCUCAGGUAAGUAGUAGUAUGAUAUACUUCUAUUAAUUUUCAAUACAUUUAUGAUGCUAGAUUAUUAUUUUGAUUAUAUAUAUUAUAUUCUCGUAAAGUGCGACCAGCAGCCACGGGGAACGCAUCUAUGCGGAUACUAUGUUUGCGAGACCAUUCGCACGUUUACCUCUGAGCUCAAGGAUCACAGAUUCGACGUAAGCAAUGAACAUUCACACCUCUAUUUUUACCCGUCAUUCUUUGUUAUCAUGAUUGAUAUUCAUAUUCAUCUCCUCUUCUUAUAUAGCACACGACCAUGAGGACGAAGGUCCUACCAGAGCAACGCGCGAUUGCUGUUGCAGAGGAGCUUGCGGGAUUUCUGAGAACGGAAGCUAUAGAUGACAAAUGACGAUUUAGUGUAACCAGGGGCCAUUACUGAUGUUCGUCCAUGUAAUCGAAUAGACGGGCUCUAGUCCCGAUAAUUCAAAUCUCCAUAUAAUUGUAUAUAUAUGCUCGCUUGUAAGAUAAGUUAAUCUUAUAUAUAUAUGCAUAAUUAUUUCUAUUUAAAUUAUAUGAAAACUAAUUCCCGAACACCAAACAAGGCAUCACGUUAAUCUCCCGAACACCUAAACCCUAAAACCCUAAAACCCAAAAAUAAUUUCAUUCAAAAAAAAACCCAAAACCAGUAAAAUCUGAAAAUCUUUAGUCCCGGUCCGUGUAACGAACCGGGACUAAAGGGCCUGCCCCUGGGACGCUACGAGGCGCCCACGUGGAGCACCUUUAGACCCGGCUUGUAACAGGGCCGGGACUAAAGAUUAGGCCUUUAGUCCCGCCCCUUUAGUCCCGGUUGGUGAACCGGGACUAAAGCCAGUUCGAACCCGGUCCUGUAUGUAAGUCAAGCAAAGAAUUUAUGCUCUGGUGGUGCCUGAUUGUUCCACACAGCCGUCAUAUUGUCUUAUCACUCACUCAUUUUAUUACAACACCAAAAUUACACAAAAACAGUAGCACCAUGACACGGCGUAGAGCACACACACGCUCACAAGCUUCAGCAUAAAUCAGCACAAAACUUACUGGGAGGUAGCAUCUCUGGACUUCUAGCCAAGACAGAUUUCACGUUGUAUGGUGAUCAGAGUGUUAUCCCAAAUGGGAACAACCUCAUAGGGUAGGAAGCAUAUAUAUAUACUCCGGGCAUGAUGUCUGAUCACUCAACUCAUUUUAUUACAACAUCACAAUUAUAAAGAACCACUAGUACCAUGACAUGAUCAUAGCGCACACACACACACGCUCACACGCUUCAGCAAUCACGGCAACUAAACAAUUUCUUACAUGGCGGAGGCAUGGCCCUCGUCGCUGGCGGUCUCGAUGCCGUCGACACGGCUGUUGGGGACGGCGCAGUUGAACCGGAUCUCGCCCUGGCUGCCGGUGAGCAAGUCCAUGUUGCUCAUCUUCACCAUGGACUUGGCAAACUGCUCGAAGAACGCUCCCUGGUUGAGGGCGAAUCGCGUCGCCAUGCGCGUGGUUUCAGGGUGGACGAUGAGGCCCUGGUCCGACUUGAACAGGCCCUGCUUGGCGAUGAGAUCAAAGUAGUACUUGUUGUCGAACACGUCCGGCGUGCGCACAUCGAGCGACUGGUUGACGCUAAGCGCGGGCACGUCGUUGGCGCACUUGGCCUUGAGCUUGGCGGCGAAAUUGGGGUCGAUUGCUGGGUUGGUGUCGACUUCCGGCGUGAAGCGGUCGGAGAAGGCGGGGCAGUGGGCGAUGCCGAACGUGUGUGCGCCGGAGAGGGACACCAGGUCGGCCUUGUCGAGGUUGCGGUCGCCGAAGGACUUGAGGAGCUCCGGCACGGUGAAUGAGGGGGCUGGAAGGGUGAAGACGAGGUCCUGCGACGCUGGGGCCAGCCCGUCGCGCCGGCCCAGAGCCACCUCAAAGCGGGGCCCGCCA